AAAGAAGCAUGUAUCUAUCUUAAAGGCACUUUAACGUUUCUACUUCCACUUGAUUUUCUUGUUUAUAAACAUCGCCACUUCCACUUCCUCUAACACCCCAAAGUCACAGCAACUUGGUGCAAAAAUAAAAUGGCGAACCCCAACGAGCAAGAAAAGGCAAUGAGAACGAAGGUUAAAUGGAAAAGAUUCACUGAGAUGGAAGUAGAUAUGAUUAUGCCAGAUCCAUCUCCAAACGGUAACAUCUAUCACUCCGCCUUUGAGAUGAAUGCCGCAAGAAAUGGUUUAACUGUCCCACCAAAAGCAAGAGCUAUCUUCGGUUACUUAGUGAUCAUGCUUUACAAGAAUGUCAACGAAUCAAACUUUAGAGAAUUUUCUAACAAGCGUUUCAAAGCACUUCGUGCUGUCGCUCAUGAUAUUUCAGAUGGACAUAUCUCAGUGUUCAAUGAUGUGGAAGAUGCUAUCUGCUAUCGAAACUCGUAUGGUCAGAACCAUCAGAUCCGUAAAGCUGUUCUGAGUGCUGUCCUCGGUAGCAAAAAGAAUGACCACUGUUAUUUCUCUAGUGUUAGUCUUAAUGUUGCUAAAUUCCUUUCUUGGACAGACAUGGCAGGAUAUUAUGUUGUCGAAGAAAAUCUUGUUUAUCCUGAUUCCCCUGUUCUCAAAGCUCCUGAGUUAGCAACUGAAGUAAGCAAUUGGAAAAAAGCAGAUCAAGCAAUCAAGGAAACUGACUCGCCUGAGUAUUACAGGAUCUUGCAUGAGGAUCCUGCGAGCUGCUCUAUACUUAGAAGAGCAAACUUUCCGACGCUCAUUGCUGUCGCAGAGAAGUUGAAGAAUAGAGUGCUUGGUGGCAGCAACAAGGUAGUGAAUGCAGAGAUAUCUGACAAAGUAGACUACUAUUUUGAUAUGCAUGUCAAGUAGUACGCUUCUGGCCGAGUGUGCGAAGCCACCGAGCGUAUUGUCGACUACUUUGAGGAAAAUUCUGAGUCAUUAGCGAAGCUUUUCUGUAGUUAGGGUCUGAUUCUACAUGGCGUCCUGUUUUUUUUUUGUUUUUUUUUUUCUUGUGCACCACAUGUGUUUAAUCAGAUAUUUUAGUAUGUUGCUUUGAUUUUUAUUUGCUGUCUUAAACUUCAUUAAAAAAGAAUUCAAGGAAGAGAUUCAAAAACAGAAAUACAAAGCAUGACAGUUCAAAACAGAGCACAAUUGCUCCGAAUAUGUAAAACAUAGUUGAGACUAAGUAACAGUUAGCCCAAAGAAUUUCUUCACUACACGUAUUGUUUAUGAAUUCUAAGAUUUCUUAAACCUAAACAAACCUUUCUUGGGGGAAAAAUAGUAUAUUCUUCCAUGUCUGUCCAAGAAAGAAUAUUGGCCACAUAUGAACAAAUAUCACCAAAAGAAUCUCCAUCCUUGGUAUGAUUGAGAAAACCUUUCAGGACAGCUUUUCCGAUCUCAGGGUUCUAUACCAUAGGUGGACCGUAAGUAGGUCGAGUGAUCCUCAUCAUUGAACACUGACACAUCUUCUCCUUUGAUCGGAACAUAACCAGCUGCAUCAAAAAGUAUUCUCAUAUGUUGAUCAGAGCUGACUUCAGUGUCAUUCUUGUAAAGCAUGAUCACUAAGUAACCGAAGAGGGCCACUGACUUUUUUGGUUCUACCACCUUUUGUGGGACGAUUAAACCGUUUCUUGCGGCAGCUGACGGGAAACUUAUCGUUCGCACCGUACGACCCAUUGCACGAACAGCUUGUUGCAGAGCAUCAGUUACUUCCGGCAGUAAUAGGUCGCUCUCUGGUCCCUAUCGGUCAGGUAUUCAUUCUUUGCACACUCAAGACUCAACUGAAACGCCGCAUAACUGCGAUUCGCCUCCGUUGCAGCAGACGCAUCACCAAGAAUCAUAUCUACUUACAUGCUCAUACAGUCAUACUUCAAAUAAAAAGAUUGAAAUCGAAAGAGAACUACUUUUGUUUGUUGGCUUUAGAAUUAAAAGAUCUCUAUAAAUUUAGGGUUUCAGUGGAGACGUUUUAUAAAUACGGAGUAGAAGUUGGAACGUUGAUUUGAGAGACGUGGCUCUUGGGCUAGGUACAUGCAUGGACUCGAUCGGGUCCAUGCUGACUUGUCUUUGCAGUUUCCUUCUAGUGAAAACGUCUUGCCGUUUAUACAUUCGGCGGGGUUAAUGAAAACGGAGUGUUGUGUCUUGUGUGCGUGCGUAGUUCCCAAAAUACGACAUCGAUUCUACUUUCUACUAGUUUUUAAAAGCUUUUGCAGUGCACAUUUGUUAAUACAUAAAGGUAAAGAAAACUAAAUUUUCAUAUAUACUCAUAAGCAUUUAAUUAAAUUGGACAUCCACAACAAUCUAAUUUGUUGUCUUUUAUAGUGUAUAGUUUUCUGAUUUUACAAAUCUAUCUCAUCAAAGUCAAUUCUUAUUGCAAGAAUCUCUCUUGCUUUAUUUCUCAUUAAUUUUCUCUUUAUUUAUUUUUCCUUGGAAGUUGGAACCAAGUAAUUAUUAGUUGUUCAAGCCUCUCUAAAAAAAGAUAAAAAAAAUAUGAGUUGUACAAAGGUUUUUUGCCAAAUAAUAUAGUUGGUGGGAUUAAUUACCAAAAGAAACAAAAAAUUAAUAUGGGAUUAUGAGUUAAAAAAAAAAUACUUGUUGAAAAUUGAAAAAAGAGAAGUCCGUUCGUUCCUCAUUUGGAGCUACAGUGACCGUUUCUAGUGCUCACAGAGAGAGAGAGAGAGAGAGAGAGAGAGAGGCGCUGUGGAUUUGUGGGAGAGUAGGGACAUCAGAGGAUUCUUCGAUCUUCAGAUUCUUACUCGACGAAUCCUUAAUCGCUCACCUGCAGUUGUUCUUAUCCUCCGCUUAUUCCGUCGAGUGCCGUGGCGGCCAAUUUCGGCAACUCUGCGCCACUGAUGAUUUUGAUGGUUAGAUCUUUUAAUGUUCGUCCUCCUCCUUACUCUCCGAAUCCAUUUUCUGUGUUCUUUCCUUUCUGUUUCGUAUAAAAUCAUGUUUCAUUGAGCUCGAUUAUGAUUAUAUCUUGUCUACGGUCAUUUUGACGACGACGACAGUGAUGAUCUUUGCCACGCGCAUCGAAAAUUGAAUUUUGUUUUCCCCAUUUUAGGAAUUGAGUCAUUUGGAUGUGGUUCAAAUGAUAUUUGGUGGUUCUGUUUUUGAAUCUCGUAUUCUCUUGGAAUAUCUGUAUACAAGGUCUCACUGGUUAAUGUUUCUUCUCUUACUUCUGUUCAGUGAUUCUAAAGAGUGAGAUGUUAAAGCAGACUAUAAGAUGGAUUUGAUACUUCAUCCAGUAGUAGCUUAAGAAAUAUUGCGGUUAUGUCAGAGUCUCGUCAAAGGCCUCCUUUUAAGGGCCCGAGAUGGAUUAUCACUUUGGUUGUUCUGGUUACGGUUGUUGUCAUUACCGCAUUCAUAUAUCCUCCGCGGAAUUCUGUGGCUUGCUAUAUGUUUUCUGGUCCUGGAUGUCCUUUAUACCAGCAGUUUUUGUUUGUACCUACUCGGGAAUUGACUGACUCUGAAGCUGCUGCUCAAGUUGUCAUGAAUGAAAUCAUGAACCUACCUCAAUCUAAGACAGCAAAUCCCAAGUUAGCUUUCAUGUUCUUAACUCCAGGGACGCUGCCUUUUGAGCCUCUCUGGGAAAUGUUUUUCCGUGUAAGGAUUUCUCAUUACAAUGUCCUUUAAUCAGUUGGAGUUUCUUAGAGAUGUGACUUUUUUGUCAAAUGUAUUUCUUGACGAAAUAGUGAUGGUUCCUUUUUGUUGAUUCAGGGUCAUGAGAACAAAUUUUCAGUUUAUGUGCAUGCCUCAAAGAAAAGUCCUGUACAUACAAGCAGCUAUUUUGUUGGUCGAGAUAUUCACAGUCACAAGGUAAAUGAGUUUGGUUACACCAUUCAGUCGGUUUUAUGCAGAAAUUUUGAUUAGUAGUCAUUCCUACAUGUAGCUUUAUUAUGUUAAUCUUGUGAAGGUUGCUUGGGGUCAGAUAUCAAUGGUUGAUGCAGAAAGAAGGCUAUUAGCUCAUGCUCUCGUUGAUCCUGAUAAUCAACACUUUAUAUUGCUGUCAGAUAGGUGAUUGAAUCAUUGUUACUUUCAUAUUAAAUAUCUUAAGGUCUUGAUGUAAUACCGAACUAUCCUACGCUUACCAUCUUCCUCCUUGUUAUUUGGCAGUUGUGUACCGCUAUUCGACUUUAACUAUAUCUAUAACCACUUGAUCUUCGCGAAUCUCAGCUUCAUUGAUUGGUACGUUGUAUGAUUGUGCCUACAAUUUACUCAUGCGGUUGAACCUCUUUUAUGUCUCACUGUCAUCCUAUCUUCUCUGUUAUUAACUAUUAAGUAUCUUCAUCUUGCAUUUUUCCAGUUUUGAGGAUCCUGGACCACAUGGAUCUGGUAGGUAUUCACAACAUAUGCUGCCUGAGGUUGAAAAGAAGGAUUUUCGGAAGGGCUCACAGGUAUGCGUUAAUGCGUUAUGUGAUAAGAUAUCAUAUUUUCCCCUUUCUUCUUCCUGCAAAAUGUUUAUAUUAGAAGUUUGUAGGAGGGAUUUACAGUUCAGAAAAAAACAAUGGUCAAUGUUAUUAUUGUAUUCAUCGAUGUUACCUUUCGUCUCUCCCUGCUAUCUAAAUCAUCCCUCACUUUGCUUCUCAUUCCUGAUAAUGAUGGCUGAAUUUCUUUUCCCGUUAGUUCUAUAUAACCUUGACAUGUUCCCGUGCGUCUUUAUAAUCAUCUUUUUCAGUGGUUUUCAAUGAAGAGGAGACAUGCUAUAGUCGUCAUGGCGGACAGCCUUUACUACACAAAAUUCAAGCUUUACUGUAGGGUAAGUAAGCCUUAAAUUUCAUGUGUUCUCAUAUUCACAUGAUAUUUGUUUAUAACCAGCCAGACCAUAUCUUGUCGUAUGUCCUAAUAUUCUAUCUCGUGACACUUUUUGCUGCAUAUCUCCCAUAAUAUUUGUGCUCUGCAUAUUUGGUGAUCAACUAAGUCAUCUAGUCAAGUUAGCAAGUGGAUGCCCAUUGAGAUUGUAGCUUAUUACAAAGUGGUUAUGCUGUGUGAUGUUCAAACAAAACUCAUGUGUUUUCCUUUCUUAUCGCAUAGACACGAUAUGUUGGAAUACUGAGACAUCAGACAUGUUUUGAUGUCAUGGAAUUUCACUAUUGAUCUCUAAUCGUUAGCAUUUGUAUACUAAGCAGAAUUUUCCUUAUCGGCUUAUACUAAUUUUUCCACAGCCAAAUAUGGAAGGACGCAACUGCUAUGCGGACGAGCAUUAUUUUCCAACUCUUUUCAAUGUCAGUUGUACUGCUUGCUUGCGUCUUCCUUUUAUUACCCUUAAGCCUUAAAGUACUCAUUUUCCUCUAACUUCAUCAUAAUCUCUCCGCUCAUGAUCUCUUUCUUUCAGAUGAUUGAUCCAGAUGGAAUAGCAAACUGGUCGGUCACACAUGUAGAUUGGUCCGAGGGCAAAUGGCAUCCGAAGCUGUACAAUGCAAGAGACAUCACUCCUUACCUCAUCAGGAAAAUCAAGGUUCCUCUUGUUCUUCUCUUUCUCAAUGCUCAGUUAGAUUUUUCUUUUCUGCGAUCUUAUUUUGUGGUUUUAAUCUGAUUUGCAGUCCAUCCAACUUGCUUACCAUGUCACAAGCGAUUUAAAGGUAAAACACCCGAGCUUUCUUCUCAUUAUCAUGGUUCUUGGAAUUUCUGUUACUGAUCCAUAACCAUCCUCUAUGCAGAAAGUGACGACAGUAAAGCCGUGUCUAUGGAAAGGAGAGCAACGUCCAUGUUACCUAUUUGCUCGGAAGUUUAAUCCUGAAACUCUAGACCGAUUGAUGUAUCUCUUCCCUAACUACACCUCGCUGGUUUGAAAGGCUUAUCGGAUUCUCGAUUGUCCGGUUUGUUCUUUGUUAAGCUCUUACCAAAGCAUACACCUUGUGUGAUAAUUAUUAGGACCAUUCAUAUUGCUGUGAUUCAAAGUUGGGUUUGAGCCUGGCACAGACAAGAACAAGAACUGCUCUGGUGUUUUUUUGGUUUAUGGUUAACAAAACAUUAGCGUGCUAGCAUGCGAGGUCCAUGACAAUUGUUUUAGGUGGUAUGCUAGAGUUGUUUACUUCGUGGUAUCGAGUAACCAUGUGGCUAUGCCUUUUCUUCUGUUAGAAGGUGAGACCCAAAUCGCUCUAAUCCAACAAAUAGCUGGUUUGGCUUCUUAUUCACAUACAAUUGCACCGUUAUCUAAUCCAUCAUCUGAUGCUCGGCAUCUUUUCAAUAAUUGUCUUUGUAACACAAUAAUGUCUCGAAAGUCCAAACUGAAUGGAAGUUGAAGGCGAGGAGGAGCUCUCUUUUUUCAACUUUCUUUCAUCAUCAUUUGGAGAAGCUAUGAGCUUUUAUAUGGCACACUUUUAAUUUAAAUUGGGCUAACAUAAGGCCCACUUUUAAUAAAUGGAAACUACAAAUAAGUAAAGUUAUGUUAACUAAAAAAGAAGAAAUUUGGCGUUACAGAAAAAAGGAAAUCAGCCAGCUGGCACCGCCGUUGUAGUGUCUAUAAAAAAGGGGAAGGUUAUCAGAGAGCGUCAUAAUUUCUCAGAACUUUGUUUUACCUUCUUGUUUCUUUGUUUGGCAUAUUUCUCUCGAUCGCUUUAUCAUGACAGAAGACGAUUUGGAGCGAUAAUCCUCUGUAAGUAAUCUUCUAAUUCUCUUGAUUUCUAGGGUUUCUAAAUUUAAUUAUCAUCAAAUCUUUCUCUGUUUCGCAUGUUUCUCUCGAUCGAAGCAUUCAUGGCCGAAGAAGAUUUGUAGCGAUAAUCACUGUAAGAAUUCUUCUAAUCCACUUGAUUUCUAGGGUUUCCAAAUUUUCCUAUUAUCAUGUUUUUGUUUGGUUCUCUUUUCGUUUUGCAAAACCAAACGAAUCGCGACUCUGCCUUUCAAAGUUUAUGUGAAUUAAAGAUUGUUUCUUUCUUCUUUUUUGUGUUAGGUUUUGGUUUUCGUUUUGUUUUUUUUGUACCGCUUUAUUGUUGCGAUCGGUUGUGGUUUUGUUGCUCUUGUUUUGCUGUUUUGUUUGUUUGAUUUCUUCAUUGUUUUGUUUUUCUUUCAAACCCAAGAGAAAUCAUAGGCAGACACUCAACUAUUAGUGUUCUGUCAGAUUCUUUCUUGGGGACAUUGUCCCGUCGAGUUGGCUUAUGAGGGAUUUUGACCUGAGACUGAAAAAACCGAUCUUUUACCCACGGCUUAUUAUUUUGACAAAUAUACUUGGGAUUGGUUUCAGUUUACUUGUCAAAGAUCAAGUUACCCACGGCUUUAAACUUUAGUCUUUAGACUUAGACUUGAGACUGAACAUUGAUCCUUCUUGGUACCCAUGGCUUUAAAAUCUCUAGACAUAUGGAUCAUGUUCAGUUUCUUGUUUCAGUUUUUAGACAAAGCUCAAGUUACCCACGGCUUAAAAAAGUCUUUAGACAGAGACGACUUAAGAAAGUCUUUAGACAGAGACUUAAGGGACAAAGUUCGGAUUGGGUUAUGUUUGGUGCAAGGAAAAGAGGGUACCCACGGCUUCAAACACACAUUGAUCCUUGAUUCGAACUUUAGACAAUUACCCACGGCUUUAGAAAUAAAAGUCUGAACAUUGAUCUUGUUUGGUACCCGCGGCUUUAAAAUCUAUAGACAUAUGGAUCAUGUUCGGUUUCUUGUUUCAAUCUUUAGACAAAGAUUAAGUUACCCACGACUUAAAAAAUUCUUCAGACAGAGACUUGAGGUUCGAAAACACCAAUCUUUAGACAAAAUACUGGAUUGGGUUAUGUUUGGUGAAAGGAAUGGUACCCACGACUUCAAACUUUAGUCUUUAGAUUGAGACUUGAGUCUGAACAUUGAUCCUUCUUGGUACCCUCGGCUUGAAAAUAUCUAGGCAUAUGGAUCAUGUUCGGUUUCUUGUUUCACUUUUUAGACAAUGAUCAAGUUACUCACGGCUUAAAACAGUCUUUAGACAGAGACAUGGGGUUCGAAGUAACCAAUCCUUUAAACAAAAGAUUGGAUUGGGUUCUGUUUGGUGGAAGGAAGAUGGUACCCACGGCUUCUAACUUAGUCUUUAGACUGAGACUUGAGACUGAACAUUGAUCCUUCUAGGUACCCUCGGCUUGAAAAUAUCUAGACAUAUGGAUCAUGUUUGGUUUCUUGUGUCAGUUUUUAGACAAAAAUCAAGUUACCCACGGCUUAAAAAAGUCUUUACACAGAGACUUGAGGUUCAAUAUAACCAAUUCUUUAGACAAAAGAUUGGAUUGGGUUAUGUUUGGUGGAUGGUAAAUGGUACCCACGGCUUCAAACUUUAGUCUUUAGAUUGAGACUUGAGACUGAACAUUGAUCCUUCUUGGUACCCUCGGCUUGAAAAUAUCUAGACAUAUGGAUCAUGUUCGGUUUCUUGUUUCACUUUUUAGACAAUGAUCAAGUUACUCACGGCUUAAAACAGUCUUUAGACAGAGACAUGGGGUUCGAAGUAACCAAUUCUUUAGACAAAAGAUUGGAUUGGGUUAUGUUUGGUGGAAGGAAGAUGGUACCCACGGCUUCUAACUUAGUCUUUAGACUGAGACUUGAGACUGAACAUUGAUCCUUCUUGGUACUCUCGGCUUGAAAAUAUCUAGAUAUAUGGAUUAUGUUCGGUUUCUUGUCUCAGUUUUUAGACAAAAAUCAAGUUACCCAUGGCUUAAAAAAGUCUUUACACAGAGACUUGAGGUUCAAUAUAACCAAUUCUUUAGACAAAAGAUUGGAUUGGGUUAUGUUUGGUGGAAGGUAAAUGGUACCCACGGCUUCAAAUUUUAGUCUCUAGAUUGAGACUUGAGACAGAACAUUGAUCCUGCUUGGUACCCUCGGCUUGAAAAUAUCUAGACAUAUGGAUCAUGUUCGGUUUCUUGUUUCACUUUUUAGACAAUGAUCAAGUUACUCACGGCUUAAAACAGUCUUUAGACAGAGACAUGGGGUUCGAAGUAACCAAUUCUUUAGACAAAAGAUUGGAUUGGGUUAUGUUUGGUGGAAGGAAGAUGGUACCCACGGCUUCUAACUUAGUCUUUAGACUGAGACUUGAGACUGAACAUUGAUCCUUCUAGGUACCCUCGGCUUGAAAAUAUCUAGACAUAUGGAUCAUGUUUGGUUUCUUGUGUCAGUUUUUAGACAAAAAUCAAGUUACCCACGGCUUAAAAAAGUCUUUACACAGAGACUUGAGGUUCAAUAUAACCAAUUCUUUAGACAAAAGAUUGGAUUGGGUUAUGUUUGGUGGAUGGUAAAUGGUACCCACGGCUUCAAACUUUAGUCUUUAGAUUGAGACUUGAGACUGAACAUUGAUCCUUCUUGGUACCCUCGGCUUGAAAAUAUCUAGACAUAUGGAUCAUGUUCGGUUUCUUGUUUCACUUUUUAGACAAUGAUCAAGUUACUCACGGCUUAAAACAGUCUUUAGACAGAGACAUGGGGUUCGAAGUAACCAAUCCUUUAAACAAAAAAUUGGAUUGGGUUAUGUUUGGUGGAAAGAAGAUGGUACCCACGGCUUCCAACUUAGUCUUUAGACUGAGACUAGAGACUGAACAUUGAUCCUUCUUGGUACCCUCGGCUUGAAAAUAUCUAGACAUAUGGAUCAUGUUCGGUUUCUUGUGUCAGUUUUUAGACAAAAAUCAUAUUACCCACGGCUUAAAAAAGUCUUUACACAGAGACUUGAGGUUCAAAAUAACCAAUUCUUUAGACAAAAGAUUGGAUUGGCUUAUGUUUGGUGGAAGGAAGAUGGUACCCACGGCUUCAAACUUUGGUAUUAAGAUUAAGACUUGAGAGUGAACAUUGAUCCUUCUUGUUAGCCACGACUUUAAAAUCUCUAGACAUAUGGAUCAUGUUCGGUUUCUUGUUUCAGUCUUUAGACAAAGAUCAAGUUACCCACGGCUUAAGAAAGUCUUAAGACAGAGACUUGAGGUUCGAAGUAACCAAUCCUUUAGACAAAAGAUUGGAUUGGGUUAUGUUUGGUGCACGGAAAAUGGUACCCACGGCUUCAAACUUAGUCUGAGACUUGAGAUUCGACAUUGAUCCUUCUUGGUACACACGGCUUGAAAAUCACUAGACAAAUGGAUCAUGUUCAGUUUCUUGUUUCAAUCUUUAGAUAAAGAAACACUCACGGCUUAAAACAUUAUAAGUCAUUAGACAGAGACUUAUAAUUUUAAACAAUGGAAAUUUGGAUAAUAAACUUACAAGACGAUGUUAAACUAACCGGAUUUUGGAUCCCAUCAUUGAUCGUUAGCGAUUCCAAAAAUUCAGCUUGUCUUCCCAUCGUUAAGUAGAUUUAUAAUACAAGUUUCUGUUGAUCCUUCUUGGUACCCUCGACUUGAAACUCACUACACAUAUGGAUCAUGUUCGGUGUCUUGUUUCAAUCUUUAGACAAAAGAAUACCCACGGCUUAAAACAUUAUGUCUUUAGACAGAGACUCGAGGUUCGAAAGUAACCAAUCUUUUGUCAAAAAGAUUGGAUUUGGUUAUGUUUGGUGCAAGGAAAAUGGUACCCACGGCUUUAAACUUUAGUCUUUCGAGUGAACUGAAACUUGAGAUUCCAACAUUGAUUCUUUUGGUACCCACGGCUUGAAUAUCUUUAGACAUAUGGAUCAUGUUCGGUCUCUUGUGUCAGUCUUUAGACAAAGAUCAAGUUACCCACGGCUUAAAAUAGUCAGAGACUUGAGGUUCGAAGUAACCAAUCCUUUAGACAAAAGAUUGGAUUGGAUUGGCUUAUGUUUUGGUUGAUGAAAAAUGGUACCCACGACUUCAAACUUUAGAUUGAGACUUGAGAUUAGAACAUUGAUCCUUCUUUGGUACCCACAGUUCAAAAAUCUCUAGACAUAUGGAUCAUGUUCGGUUUCUUGUUUCAGUGUUUAGACAGAGUUGGAUAAUAAUGGACGAUGUUGGGUUAUGUUUGGAUAAUAAAUUUACAAGACCAGAUUUUAAACAAUGGAAAUUUGGAUAAUAAAUUUACAAGACGAUGUUGAAUAACCGGUUUUGGAUCCCGUCAUUGAUAGUUAGCGAUUCCACAAAUUCAACUUGUUUUUACAUCGUUAUGUAGAUUUAGAAUACAAGUUUGUGUUGAAAAAAAAUAUAUACAAGUUUCUUAUUUUUUUAGAAAAGAUUCCCAAAUUUUUCCAUACGUUUAGCAUGCUACCAACCUUGUAAGAGGGUUCGUCGUUGUGUGAGAUUAGUGUAAUUUGUUAUGGGAUCAGGAUCAACCAAUCAAGAUUUCACCAACUUGCUAAUAUGUGAAAGACAGACAAAUAGAGUAACAGUGAAGACUGAAGAUGAUGGUUGUGAUGUGAUGAACAAGUUCUAAAAUAUUUAGGUCCAAAAGAUCUUCCCAUGGAGCUUGGUUGUGAAAGUGCUAACUGAGAUUUCUCCAACAUGCACACAUUGUUGCAAAAGCUUCCCCCUGCAUUUUAUUAUACAAACAAACAAACAAAAAUGUCACCAUAAUGGAUGAAUGUUUGUUCACCAUGAGUAUGCGACUUAUUAACAUAUUACAUUUUAGCAUUACUACAUCCAAAUACUUCAACUAUCAUCAUAUAUUGGAAAUUUGGAUUGAUGGCUUGAGUCAUAAAAACCUACAAAAGGAUUGGACGAUACUUUUAGUAAAAUCUCUUAAAAUUGUCCGCAGUGACCAAAAUGCUAAAAAGCUAGAAGGAUAUACAGACUUUUAUCUUACUUUAUGUAUCAGAAAAUCAAUAUUUCUUAAUAAAUAUGAUAAAGUGUUUCAGUUUAUUUUGAGUUUAGAAAAAGCCAAAUGAAUUGGAAUCAAAAUAAUGUAGGUAAAAAAGAGAAGUGGAAUUAAAAUAAAAUCAUUCUAUCCAAUCAAAACGGUAAGUAGUUGUGCGUUUUAGAGGCAAAACACCACAGCGUUUCGAAGCACGUGGAUGUGUCGUGUGAUACAGCAGUAGCGCACUAUUGGGCAUUGAGAAUACAUAAUCAUAACCCCUGCAAUCUAACGGUCAACCUUUUAAUAACCCUUGUAGGUUAAAUCUCUACCGUUUAUUCGAAUUACUUUUCCAAGGUAAGAAAAAAGCAAACACAAAAGGGAAUAUCAAACAACAAAAAAGUAAGAAAGAGCGGUAAGACAGAGACGGAGAAGAAGGAGAAGAAGAUUGUUAAGACGAAACCCUGUUGCUGUCCGUACAAUGCCGCCGAAGAAGAGUAAGGCAGAUGGAGAAGAAAAGGCGAAACCUUUAACGACGUUGGCGUCGUCUAGAGUGACUCGGAGCAUGGACAGUCGAACUCGAAGUCAGACUCAACAAAACGGUGCUAAAGCGGCUGGAUCCGCCACUAAGCCGGCGACGAAGAAGGCUAAGAGGAAGAAUUCAGCGAUUGAGACUGGGAGAGCCAAGAAGGGAAAGAAGGAAGAGGAAGUUGAAGAGCCAGAGGAAGCCGUUGAGGAGGAGGUUGAGAAGGAAGAGCCAGAGGUUGAGGACCCUACGAGAACCAAGAUUGUUAUAGAACACUGGUAAUUUUUGCGUAAAUGUUUUCGAUUUCUUUAGAGAUAAUGUUUGGAAUCAUAAGAGCAAAAAUUUAGGUUUUUUUCUUUGAAAUUGAAUCUAAAAGCCUACAACUUUGGGGUAUGUGUUGAGACUUGUGUGUCCGUGUGUAGCAGCUAAGGUUUAUUUGCUAGGGUGGAACAAUGUGUUAGGUUUUCAUCUUGAUUCUGCAUAAGUUUUUGGUUUGAGUGAUUAGUGGUUUAUGUUUUGCUCGCAUUUGUGAAGAGGACUUGACUAUCUGCUUUCUGUUUGUGUUCUUGUCUUGCUUUAGCUGAAUUGCAAUGCGUAAUGGACGUGUUCAUUCUAUAAAUGGAAUUUGCUUCUAUACUUAUGUCUCACAAGAGUUCUUUUUUGUUUUGUUUUGUGAUGUUAUUGAAGUAAACAAUGCAAUGCUUUCAAGACAAGAGCUAUUCAGGUGAAGGAAGCUUUGGAGGGAGCUGUUCCUGGCGUCACGGUGUCUCUUAAUCCUGAAAAGGUAAUGCUUUUACUGCAGAUGAAUAUAUCGUCAUGAAUGCUCCGUUUUGACUAAUGCGUUAGAGCAUACUUUUCACAUUAUACUUGAUAAGAUUUUCUUCUAAAUUACUAAUUCUUUCUUUUGAUGUGCUUGAACAGCCAAGGCGGGGUUGCUUUGAGAUCCGGGAGGAAGGUGGCCAAACAUUCAUCAGUCUUUUGGUAAAAACUUUCAUUCUAAUAAAAACAAAUCUCAAUUUGUCUCGCUUCUGCAUAUGAUUUGUUCAGUUUGAGUAAGGUUUAUUGUUAUUACUAAUUCUCAUAACACCACUUGCUCUAUAUGCAUAUGAGAAUGAAAAUCAACUUGAUCCUUAUUCAUUACGAGAAAUGUGUUAUUGUGAGUAGAAAUCAUGAAUAUGUUUUUGCCUUUCAAUCUUAACAUAGACCUAAAGAUGUAGAUUAUGUUUAUCUCAUUUUGUAGGAGAUGAAACGUCCAUUUGCACCAAUGAAGGCACUUGAUAUGGAAGAAGUCAUCGAGGACAUCAUAAAGAAAGUCAAAUGAAUCUGUUCUUUGUUUCUGCCUCGGUCUCAGUUUAAUCAAUUAGGUUUCUGCAGAAGACUUUCUAGAGUAAUGUCAGAUUUGUUAGGUUCACUUUUAUUGUUUCGGUAUGAGCACUGUAAGUGCAGUCUCGUCGUUUGGCAAUGCAUGAUUAGUUGAUAGAGAAGGAUCUCUGUAGUUUUUGGGGUUAACUCGUAUUUGUAAGGCUAGUUUAUUAUUCAUCUCGUUGCUUGAAGCAAACCGAUGCAUAAGUGUUUUUUGUUGUUGGGACCAUGCAUGGUUCUAACAAUCUAUGCACUGGUUAAAGCAUGUUCUAACACAAUUAGAACUGUGUUACAAAAUCAAUAGGACAAACAUCACAUUUGCAUUCAAAAUGGCUGAUAAAUACAAUGCAUGAUGAGUAGAAAGCUCAUUACAUUUAGGUUUCUUUCACUUCCAAUGGCCGUGUCUCUCUUCUUGGCUAAAAGCUACAGAAAAAUUGUUUUGAAUCUCACCUACCAUUAUUGUCUUUAACCCACAUCACCCGAAUCUUAGAACCCAGCAAAGCUAGCCAAAAAUGCUAACAAGAGAAUAACAUCAAAGCUCCAACCAGCCUUAGAAGCAGAAGAAGAUGGUUUAGCCUUAUCAGCAGCUUCAAUCUUCUCAUUAUCGGCGCUUGGAGCAGGAGCUGGAGAAUCAGCCUCUGGUGUGUCUGUUGCAGGUGCAGGUGGAGUUUUUGGGACAGCAGAAUCUGGGGAAUUGUCAUCAGCAGCUGGUCCUGGAGCUGGAACCACUGAAGCAUCCAUGGGAGUUGGAUAUGGAGCUACAUGAACGUAUGGUGGUGGAGGUGGGAAAAUUGCAAGGCUGAGUCCAGGAGCCACUAUUGGCAUGGUAAUCUGGAUGAUAGAGAGGUUAUAUGGAUUGUGGUACACCGUCGAGACAUACUCAGCGUUUAAAGGAGAGUUCUUCACUUCCGAUCCAAAGUAAACUCUUCCUUUUGAUUUGGAAACGUUCAAGAAACCAUUCAUCUGUUCACCCAACCCGGUGGUUUGGUAUAAGGUAGUAAGCAUUAUACUCUUCUCCCUCAUCCCCUGAAGCUUAAGCUCAUCGUAGUAGUCAAGAAUAACAUGAGUCAUGAGGAUGUUCCUGAGCUCAACUUCGGAUCUGUUAGUGAUGGAGCUGAUAGCGUCAUUGCUAACAGCAAGCACGGUUAUCGUCUGGUAUUUGUCGAUGGCUGCAAUGAGCUUGGUCUUGAUGAAGAGGUCCCUCAUGGUGCUGAAUUUGGAGUAUUUCUGAAAGGCCAGCGUGAUGUUAUUCGCCGUAACGACCUUAGAGAAGACGAGUAAGAUGGUGAGGGAGAGGAGAGAAAGGGAGGCUUUGAGACCCAUCUCGUGUCGUGUGUUCUCUUUGCUAAACCUCAAGGGCGAAGAGUGGGUUUAAAAGGAGAGAUUUUCUCUGUUUUUGGUAUUAAAUCUGAAUUAGUCUUUUGGUGAGCUAAGUCUACUCUGCUAUUUUUAGAGUAUAGUAAGACUUGGCCAUUGAGAAUUUAAUUAUUUGAUGGCUAAAUUGCGUUUUAACAAGUUUUUUUAUGUUAAUUGAAAAAGUUUUCUUCUGUGCGAAAGGAACUAAAAUUAUAAUGAUGGAACUUGCAUGUUUAUUAGAUGAAUUUAUCAUUGUAACAAAAUUAUAGUUGUUUUGUUUACAAUCUGAUGAAGUUUUAGUUAAUGAUUUCUAAAGUUGAUGGAAAAGAUAACCUAAAAGACUCUUAACAUGAAUAAUUAAACACUAGUAAUUUUUAUUUUUGCUAAAAAAAUUACUACUCAUCUACUUAUUAAUAUCAUCAAUUUUUUGUAUGAUAAUUGGCACAUCGAUAUUUAGUUUUUGGAAACCAGAGUAAAUAUAAAUAAGAAAUGAUAAAUUAUGAUUAGAAAAAGAUAAGUAUUCUGAGAAAGCUAAAAUACUUUUGAAUAAGAGUAACAAAGAAAUUUAGAAUUUAGAAUAGAAACUGUCUAUAGCCCCGUGAAAAUGACAAGUAAUAACUAAACGUCAAUUGCAUGCUAUGUUCACAUUAUAUUUCGUUUUCGAAAAAUUUAAUUAAUGAAUUACGUCAAAGAGGUUUUCACAGUUAAUGCCGCAUGUUCAUUAAUUUCUAAACUAAAUAUCAUCAUUUGAUGGAAAAGCUAGCUUAACGACUUUGAGUGUGGAUGGUAAAACAUAUAUUUUUAUUUUUUUUGCUACAACUUAAAAGCAUCAAUUUAUUAUGAUAUUUUGGACAUCGAUAUUCAUGUUUGUAAAUAAUUUGCCUCAGAACUAUAGAGCAAAAUAUAAAUUAGUUGGAGUUUGCAAAUAAUGAUAAAUGUUCUUAAAAAGGUAAAUAAAAUUAAAGAGUGAAUCACAAAAAAAAAAAAAAAAAAAAAGUAGAUGAACGUCAAUUUGUAUAAUUUCAGUAUAUAUCAUAUAUAAACCAUGUAAACGACGGAUUACGUCAAAGAGAUUGUCACAGUUGAUAUCGCAUUUAUAAGAAGCUUCUUAGGUAUCAAUUAUCAUCCAAAAAAGAAUGUAUAAUCAAUUAUAUUCUUACUAUUAUAUUUCUAUCUAACAUUGUAUAACACGUUUUCAUUUGUCGAUUAUAUGUUCGACUGGUCUUUUAAGCACUCAUGACUCAUAUGUAUAUAAUAAUAUGUAGAAACGAACGAAUAUUUAAGAGUUUCAGCUUUAUACCAAUUAUUCGAAUUGGCAACUCGGAGUUCAUAUUCUCUUUGUUAACCUACGAAAUACGAAUACAACAACUAAUAAUAUUUUUUACACCGUUUUCAUUUCUAAUAAUUAAGAAGUUCGGGCUCAUUUGACCUUUAUCUCUAUUUUAAAACAACUAAAUCGUAAUAUUAUAGUCUUAAGAUACUUUUUAGAACAAAGUGACGAAAAUAAUGUUCACACUAACGAGAUUGAACCCAAAAAAUGGCUACAUGCCUACGUUAAUUAUGCUUUUGAAUUAUAAAACAGUACAAAACAAACACGAAAGUAUACUUUAUAUAUGAACUAAUGAAUAAAAAGGAAACAAGAUCAUGAUCAUAUAGUGAUUUGGAAUCAAAUUCGCUAUAUAAUGUAAUAAAAAUAUUUAUAUAAUUACCAAUACUAGUAAUGUUAGGGGUCUAAAAUUAGAACGAGAUGUCAUCUUCUUGACAGAAUUAUUCUAAAGUUGUAGAAGAUAAGGGUGACCUGGCACCAAUCGAUCCUUCAUUAUAUUGGCUACUCGAGCAUAUCUUUCGCAAUAAGAAUACCACUAAACGUAUAUAUUCUUCCUAUUCUUAUACGUAUUAUUGUGUAAAUUUUAUUAACUUUCUGAAAUGAAAUAAUAUGCAAAGAAAUACAAUCGGUUUUGAGUCUGAUUAUAAAUCACCCAAUUAUAGCGAAAGUCAAGUUAAAAAUUUCACAUCAUGAUCAUUACAACUUGGGGGGAAAUAUUUGGUUCCUAGCUAUAGCUACUUCUGCUUCUCCGAUCUUGAUACAUAUAUAUAUGUAUGUUUUAGUUUUUCCUUGAAUAUCGAUUAUGCAUAUGAAGAUAGAUUUAACAUAUCUAUUGUUCCACGUUCCACCCUUAUUCUUGUGAAAUUUUCUCGAAAAAACUUACAUAACAUGUUUGAUCUAGCACAAUUCUAAUAUAUAUAUAUAUAUAUAUAUAUAUAUAUAUAUGACUAAAGUAAUAUAAUUAAUAUAUGUUCAGUGUGAACAAAAAGCAGAGAAAAUUAUGUGGUCGUGUACAAAAUCAAUCAACAAAAGUUUCGAGAAAAAUUUGAUCAAAUGUUACCUACUUACCUUAUUGCUAUGACGCACACGAACCAUUGGAUUGCAAAAGUAGCAUUAGUUCACCCCAAAGACUAAGCGAUUCGUCUAGCGAAGUUAAAAGUUAUAGAACAUACAUAUAUAAAAUAAAUAGAACUUUAUGGCUGAAUCAAUUGGGUUAGCUAACGUGAACACAUGAAUGGAUCGAUGAGAAUAAUCUUUGGAAAGUGUAUCUCCGAAGCCUCUAGAAACAAUAUAUUAGUUAUUUCUAUUUUGGUUUUAUGAUGUUGACGCUACAAGAACAAAUGAUGCUGACAUAAGAUGCAUGAGAACAAUUAACAUCUAUAUAAUUAUGGGUGCCAUUUGUAUUGACUAUGGACGUGAGUAUUUUUUUUUGUGUGGAAUGGGUCAUGGAUAUGGGUUUGGAGAUUUAUCCAUACCGAAAAACACUUACUUAACUUGUUCUGGUUUAUUUAUAAUGUGAUGUGACCGUUAUGUCACUGUGACAUUUAUUACUACAAUAUAUAUUUUUUUUUACUAAGAAUGUAAAUAUUUUUAAAAAAUGAUUUUUUUUUAAGAAUUACAUAUAUGUAUAUACCCUAUAUCAUGGCCAAAAAAAAAGAAAUAAAAACAUAGAAGCAAAUUCAUAUAUCUUCAAGUAUUAUACAGUAAGAACCCUCCAUUUUCCUAAAUUCAUAUAAUUUCAAGUAUACUAAGCAUAUAUUUAUAAUAACUAUAAAAUGCACAAGUAAAUCAUGUUGUAUAAGUUACUGUAUAUUUAUAUAAAUUAAUGUCAACUUAGAGUGGACCUAAUUAAAACGCUAAGCAAAAAGAGGAACAAAAUGAGACCUUGUGGUUCGUGUUGUGUGUUGAGUGUUACGUUAAAGAGAAUGAGUGUGGCUUGGCAUCAUCUCCCACGAGGGCCUUCGCUCCCACUUCCCAUAAUUCUUCAUGAUUUCUCUCUUUUCCAAUUCAUUUGUUUUUUGUGUGCCACACUUUUUGUCCAUAUAUCUUUCCACAAUUAAGUUUUAUAGAAAUAAAAUAAAAAUAGAAUAUUGCAUUAUUACAAAAUUAUUGCUAGAAGCAGAAUCUGAUGAUGUUGAGGCUAGUCGUUAUCACAUUUCAUAUGUAAAUUAACGAGGACAAAAGUAUUUAUAAAGAUAGAUGAAUAAUUAAAUACGAAUAUAGGGGAAAUAAAUUACCUUAGAGAGUUGAUCAAAUCUCUGAUGGUUAAAGAGUUAUAAAAAUACUACAGUUCCAUACUUUGAAAAUUGACCUAGGAUUUCCCGCUAAAAUUGAAAUUAAUCUCCUGUUUUUUUGUUUCUUUAUGUUAAGCCCUAAUUUUAAUUAGUUUGGGUGUGAGUUUUAGAGUUGAAAAAGGCAUCCAAACUUGUAGACCUACCCAUUAUGCAGUAUGCAAUGCAUUCUUAAACUAACCUACCUCAAAAUCAAUUCUACCAUAUAUAUUUUAAUUUUAUAGGUUUAAAUGUGUAAUAACGGUUGAAAAUGUAUUACAAAUUUUACAUGAAGGUAAAAACGGGAAAUUUAUAAAGUAUAUCACAAAGAUUUUUUUUUUAACAAAUAUAUUACAAAGUUUUCUAUACAAGUAAAAAUAAGAGAGAGAGAAAAAAAAAAAAAGGACAGAUCGAGAAGCAAUGUAAAAUGGUCUCACACAUCAAUUAAUUGUCUCGACUAAAGGAGAGCAAGGACCAGUAAAGUAUUAAUAUUCACAUGACACCACGUGACCGUAACGCCUUCUGUUGACAUGUCUACACAGAACAAACAUAAAAAGAGAAGAAUAAUCAAAACGUAAAAUAUAUAUUAUAUAUCACUGAAAUUAACAAUUUUAUAGGCAACUUUUCAUAAUGUCAAUAUUUAAUGUAUAGCUGAAUCAAACUUUUUUUUUUUUACUUCCAGGAACUGCAGUGUCCUUAGGAUUGUUUUUCAUUUUUUUUUCAUUUCGUUACUACUAACAGAACUUUUCAUUUAUAUCUUGAAAUUUUGUUGUAUAACUCAAAUAAAGAUUGAAACUAACAUGAUGAUACUUGUAAUUAUCUGAUUAUUUCCUUCCAUGUAAACCGAUCAACAUCUAGUCGUAAAACAGAAAACAAAAAAGACACUGAUCGACACUCAUAGCAUAACAACCGAUCUUAGUAUACAUAUGUGUGAUAUGUUACGUCAUAUUUAGCUCAUGCAAACUAGAAUUUCUUGCCGUAUUUCAGUUCCAUAUAUCUCGGAUAUGCAUAUCAAAUUUACGACAAGAAUCUAAAUUUUGUGAAAUAUUACCAAAGAUUCCUUUAUAUAUAGAAAAGAGAUAAAUUAACCACACAAACAUAAUAAAAUGGAAAAAGAAGAAGAGAUUCGAAAAUGUGGACCCAUUUUUUAAAAAUUCUAACAUUCAAACUGAAUAAAUUUCCCACGCUAAUUUUGAUUUAUUUAUCUCCUUGCAUAUCGGAAUAAGUAUAACAUUCUUCAAAGACCAAAAAAAGAAGAAAGUAUAAUAUUCUUUCAAUCAAUUUCCAUAGAAAAGAUAUGGCAUUUCAAUUACGUCCCAAAUAUGACGAUCGAAAUCAUCUUAUAUAACUCAAAGUAUUUAACUACAUAUAGUUUCGAAUCAGAAAAAUAGCUUUGGUUUUACGGAUUUUGAGUUAUGCUCUUGUGUCAAAAUAUGAUAAAUAAAUUGUUGGUAGAUUGAUAGAUAAGAUUCUUCCUUUUCGAAAAUUCUGGAAUUCUGCAUUUAAUAUAUAUAUAUAUAUCAUAUAAUAUAAUGAUAAUCUACUUGUCAGUCUACACACCCCUUUACCAACAUAUAUAUAUAUAUAUAGCACACACUCUACACGGUUUCCUUAUCCUCAUCAAAAUUAACAAACUCAUUUUUGAAUACCCAAAAAAAAACCUAGCUAGCUCGAAUUUUUUUAAAUAUAUAAUAACAUCAACAAUGUCUGGUGUGUGGGUAUUCAACAAAAACGGAGUCAUGAGGCUGGUGGAGAAUCCUUACAACCAAUCCGCCGGAGAUUCGUCGGAAUCGUCCUCUUCCGGUGGUAACCAGCAGCAGAGGAUGAGGAGGAAAAUUCUCGUCCAUCUUCCAAGCAGCGAGGUUGUGUCUUCGUACGGAUCACUUGAGAAGAUCUUGAAGAAUCUUGGGUGGGAGAGGUACUACAGUGGAGACAAUACCGAUCAUCUGCUCCAGUUCCACAAGAGAACUUCGAUCGAUCUCAUCUCUCUCCCUCGUGACUUCUCCAAGUUUAACUCUAUUCACAUGUAUGAUAUCGUCGUCAAGAACCCUAACGUCUUCCAUGUCCGUGACAUGUAGUAGUCAAUCAUCCAAAACAAUGGUUCAAUAUCAUUCUCCGAUCAUCGCCGCUGGUGAUAUAUCUAUCAUGUAUAUAUAUAUGCAGGUUUUUAUUUUGUCGUUGGGUGUUUUUGUUUUUGGUUUAUUUUGUUUUUAAUGCAUUUAAUGUACGUGUUUUCCGUUCGACGUCGAUCGAUUGGGGUGGGUUCAAGCUAGAGCCAUUCUAAUAACUUUUAUCAUUUUGUGAUUUUAAUGAAAUUGUAUCAUGUUGUCAAGUUCUCUUAUUAUGGAGUGGAUCAAAAAAUAUAUACAGUACAUCAAAUUUCGAAUGUUAUAUGAUGAAAUAUCAUAAUUUGGUCUAUGAUUUGCAUUUAAAUAAUAUGAUGCGUGGAAUUUAUGUAAAUAAUUUAAUCAAAUAUACUCAUGGAAUGCAAAUAUACCUAACAUGUGAAGAAAAUUUGUUCUGUCAAAAAUUACUAUUAUAUACAGCUUAAUUAGCAAUUUAAACAAAAACUACUAUAUAUACAAGGGCCGAUAGAUUAUACAAAUUUUCAUGAAAAUAAAAAAUAAAUGUGUUGUUUUUAAAACCCCAAUAAUUAUCACAAAUAAAAACUACAGUUGCGUUUUUGUAUUUUUUCAAACAACAGUCUACUAGACGUAAUUUUUUUGAUAAUAAUACAUAACUUCAAUUGAUUGAUCAUCCAUCACAUAUUUGAGUAUCGAUGAAGUAACAUGGGAGAUUAAUAAGUUAGAAACUUUAAAGUCAUAAUCAUAUUAUCUAAUCGUUUAAGUUUUUUUUUUUUUGAAACCGUCUGGCUAAAAAAACAGAUAUGUAUACAAAUUAAAACCAUAUAGAUAGAUAGAUAUAGGGUAAAGAUACUGGAAUACAAAUGAUCAAUUUUCAAGUACGACCAAAAUCUAAAGAAGGAAAGUCAAAAGGUGUCCAAUUAGAGAAGGGCCCCCAAAUGUUUGGGAAAGACAACGGAUAAAAUGAUGGGCGCACGUGACAUUCGCUACUUUUUUACCCAACUUUCACACGUGUCGAUUCCCUAUUGCUCAUUUUCCCACUUUGUCAUAGAUUCAUAUGAUGGGCGCACGUGACACAUAAAAUACUUUUUAAGACGCAAUGUGUGGGCACGUGUCGAUUCCCCAUUGCCCAUUACCCCCACUUCGUCACUUCCUUAUCGAUGUCGAACAAAACUUUCUUUUUCCCAAAUAAAUUCGCACCAUAUUCGGGACCUCUUUUUUUUUUUUUUUUUUUGGGAUUUUAUUAUAUAGUUUGUAUGAUUUUGGUUUUCUUUUUCUUUUACUCGCAUUAUGGGUCUAAGAUUCUGGAGUGCUUGAUUUCUCAAGUAAUAUGCAGGUUUAAUUUCUGCCCAAAGAUUUUCAGAUAUCCGAUAGUCCAAAAUCGUUUAUAUUGGUUUACUAAGUUUUCUUUAAACAUUCGAUAUUAGUAAAGAGACGUGACUAAGAUUUUGGCUAUAUCAAUAGAAAAUGAAAAAGAAGUUUUGGGCCUAUAAACGCUGACUAUACACACAUGCUUCUAUUAGAGUGGUUCUUAUUGUAAAUUGGAGUAUCAAACUAUGUAGAUUGUGUCUGUCGAAGCUCGCAAGGGUUAGAAAAAUGAUUGUCUCGUCCAGAUAAAAGCAUUUUCUUACACAAGACACGAAAAUGUUUGCGAUCAAAACUUCAAAUGAUUAAGCAUUUUAUAAUUUAAUUUGGAUAACGGAUACAUUUUUCCAGGCAAAGGUAACGAUUAUGUUUGGAAAAUCUGAAUCAAGAUGACAUCAUCGUGAACAUAAUUACAUUUUAAGACGGAGCAGAACAACGAGACAAACUACGAAUACAUUGAAAAAACAUAUGCAGAUCCUGCUGAUUUAUGACAAGAAAUUAACUAGUUUUUAUAAUCACACAUGGAAGUACUAUGACUACUACUUCUACAUCAUUUUUAUAGUAAAAGUAGGAGAUCAAAUUACAUGAGAUGGUAAUGGAUCAAAGCUUACCAAGUUAACAUGCAUGAAGUGAUUUAUACGUGCUAUUGAGUAUCAGCCAUACUCCCGUUUAAAGUCCAGUAAGCUACCUAGCGUUUUAUGCCUCAAUUUUGUGAAAGUUUUAUGGCGUGAUACUUCUACAUAAUACGAUGCAAAAGAGAAUUAACAAUGUUUGUGAUAAAGUGUAGCUCUAGCCAUGAAGAAAAACUCAUGAAUGGAAGCAAAGUAAAGAAGUCCUGCUAAGUAAUCGUUUUUUUAGGACAAGAGAUUCAUUACCAUCUCAUGUCGCCACCCACACUUUGUAAUUGUAGUGGAUCGGAUGGUAUAACAACUAAGAAUACGAACCUAUAUAUAAAACGUAUGUUUUCAUUAGUGUAUUGUUAUAAAACUUAUACAUAGAUUUGAGUAUUCAAUUACCACACGAAUAUGUAUUGUUUAGUUGCGAACAACGUUGCACCUUUCGUGGCCACACAAGACUUUCCCCGAUCGCAGCUUCUUCUCUGCUUGGCGCCAAAUACUAUCACGUAUCUUAACAAACCAACAAAAAAAAACUGCGGGAUGUAGAAAGAAACAACAAAAAGUUUUGGGUCGAUUUGCUACAGAAUUACAUUUAUUGUGGUCUUUUUGAAGAUAAAGUUCUUUUAGUUCUUGUGGUUGGUAGUCAAUUUAUUUCAUUUUCGGAAAUUAAUAUUUAUUUUAGUUUUUUCGUCCAACGUAAACGUAUCCACUCUUUCGCUUCUUCUUUCUUCUGAUCAUCCUCCCGUAGCUGAUUCAUGGAGUCAAUCCACUGCAAUAGUUUACUAAACCCUAAUUUCUCCUUAAACCAGCGUCGUCGGAGGAUUAAUCACGCUGUUCUUAAUCGGAGAGAUGCUCUUUUGCGAUCCCUCAACGCCGUGGAGUUGCGGCGGAGCAGGACGUUCUCGGCUGUACGGACUUCUAAUUUCUCAGUUACUGCGGCGGCGACGGAUGUUGGUGGUCGGAAUUCGACGGAUGCAUCGGUAAUGACAACGGCGAUGAGCGGGGUGGAGAGAGGUGUGCGAGUAGGGAAAUCGAGCUCCGCGCUUGAGCAGCUAGAUAUUGAGCGAGGCGUUUGCGUUCCAUUCCGAAAGUAUUCUCCGGAGACUGUAUGAUUGCUGUUUUUCCUAGUAUCAGUCAAUUUCAAGUUUUGAGCUCUGUUGCAAUUUGUUAAUUCACUUAUGAGCUGGUUCUUCUUUGGAUUUAGUUGAAUCUUAUGACUUAGAUGGAAUCGAUUUGCAUGUAUAUUGUUGUUGAUUGUUUGAAUUGGAAAUAUACUGGUGUUUGGUAAUCAGGUGAGGAGUAAAGUGCUGGAAUCAAGAGGAGCAGUCGUGUCUCUAGUUUCAAGGGGUGUGGAGAUUGUUUGGACUCUUGGGUUGUAUUGGUCUACCUUAACGUAUGAUUUUUUGGUUGGAAGGGAUGAGGAAGUUGUCCCCUUUCGUGCUAGGCAGCUUAGGAACCUGUUGUGCAAUUUGGGACCUUCAUUUAUCAAAGCUGGACAAGUAUGUGGAUCCAUCUUUUUUGUUAGAAAAUGGCAUUAACAGGGUUCUCAAAGUUUCUUCUUUAAUAUCUGUUCUAUGGGUGGCAGGUUCUCGCAAAUAGGCCUGAUAUCAUCCGUGAAGACUACAUGAACGAGCUCUGCAUACUCCAAGAUGAUGUUCCUCCAUUCCCAAACGAGGUAAAAUGUCUUGUCUUUUUGGGGAAUUUGUUGAGCAAUAUAUUUUUCUUAUUAUCAUUUACACAUCGCCUGGUGAAGCUAAGUGGUGAAGGACUUUUGUAGGUUGCUUUCAAUAUCAUCGAGGAAGAGUUAGGCCAACCUCUUGAGAACAUAUUUAGCAAGAUUUCUUCACAAACAAUAGCAGCUGCAAGCUUAGGACAAGUUUAUCGAGCUACUCUACGUGCCACUGGAGAGGAUGUUGCUAUCAAGGUUCUUCUAAAUGAAAAUUUUAUUGUGGCUACAGAGUUCAUACAGGUUUAUCAAACUGAAACUGUUUUAAAGCUUUGGUUUUGACAUUUAUUUUUAUGCAUAUACAGGUGCAGAGACCACAAAUAGAGCCUAUAAUUUACCGGGAUCUCUUUCUUUUCCGAACCCUCGCCUCCUUCUUAAAUGGCUUCAGUCUACAGAAACUGGGUUGCAACGCAGAGCUAAUAGUUGAUGAAUUUGGAGAAAAGCUUUUGGAGGAGCUUGACUACACCUUGGUAUCUCAUAUGCUUCUCAAUUUCACUCUAUGCGUUGUUCUGUAUUGAUAGCUCAAAUGAUGUGUCUUAAGUUCUUGCCUACAGGAAGCCAGAAACAUUGAAGACUUUCUGGAGAACUUCAAAGAUGACCCCACAGUCAAAAUUCCUGGAGUAUACAAGAAUCUUUGUGGUCCGCGGGUUCUGGUAAUGGAGUGGAUUGAUGGUAUUCGGUGCACUGACCCACAGGUAUGACUUUCAAAAAGGGGGACAACUCAAAAUAAAUUCCCCUAUACCCUCCUAAAAAGUCAAAAUUAAAGUACAUUCUGAUACUGACUCUUACUAAAUGUACUCAGGCCAUCAAGGAUGCAGGGAUUGAUUUAAAUGGAUUCUUGACUGUUGGCGUAAGUGCUGCUCUAAGGCAGCUGUUGGAAUUUGGAUUGUUCCAUGGAGAUCCACAUCCUGGAAAUAUCUUUGCAAUGCAAGAUGGGCGUAUCGCUUAUGUGGACUUCGGUAAUGUUGCUGUACUGAGUCAGGUAAUUUGAGUUUAAUGGUUCCAAGGUAUCUAGUAUAGCUAGCUUAUGUCCCUUCCUAUAGUGAUUUUCACAUCUAUAUAUAGAGACUUGUUAUUCAUAGUCCAAACUAAAUCUUUUUUUUUCUCAGCAAAACAAGCAAAUUUUGAUUGAUGCUGUUGUUCAUGCGGUUAAUGAGGACUAUGGGGAGAUGGCAAAUGAUUUCACUAGGCUUGGGUUCUUGGCCAAGGAUACCGAUGUUUCUCCUAUCGUUCCAGCUUUAGAAGCCAUCUGGCAGAACUCUGCAGGGAAAGGACUUGCAGAUUUCAAUUUCCGAAGUGUUACAGGUACUUGAUAUAUUGCAUUCCUCAAGCAAGUUUGUUUUGUUUACUGAGCACCCCAUGCACAUUUGAAGAAACGGUGUCACGUUUUUGGUGCAGGACAAUUCAACAAGCUUGUGUACGACUUUCCCAUCCGUAUCCCAGAGCGGUUCUCUCUUGUUAUUCGUUCUCUGCUUACGCAGGAGGGUAUAUGUUUCACACUGAAGCCUGAUUUUAAAUUUCUAGAGGUGAAGUCUCGUUUAGUAUUUUGAUUCUUUCUUUUCAAAGUUAGGAUUAGCUGACAUAUAAAUCCUGAAGUGAGCAGAUACUAGCUAUAUGUUCACUUAUAUUUCCCUUCCCACACUAAAAGUGAACAUUUUAUCUAGGUUGCUUAUCCAUAUGUAGCAAAACGGCUCCUAACGGAUCCAAAUCCUGCACUUCGGGAACGCUUGAUACAGGUUAAAUUGAUAAUUCUGAUUUAGUUUCAUAAAUGCUAUGUUGAAUUGUUAUCCGCAUCAGAUGAAAUCAAAGCUCUUGUUGCCACCGCAUGUCAGGUUCUAUUCAAAGAUGGUGUUUUCCAAUGGAAAAGGCUAGAAAACCUUUUAUCACUUGCAAAGGAAAACGUCGCCAAGAUGAGUAGCAAUCCUAAUCUACGAGUAAAGCGUGUGUAAGUAACCAAGUUCUAUAUAAGCAUUGCUCCCAAAAUCUCACUCGUUCACCCUGUGAAGCUUGAAUUCUAAAUCCGUAUUUGACUCAUGAAACUUUCAGGGAGAGUAAGCUUGACUUGACAGAUACCAUUAAGGACGGAGCUCGUCUUUUCCUCCUUGACGAAGGCAUCCGCAGGAAACUUAUUCUUGCACUCACAGAGGACUCGAAGCUUCAUGUAGAAGAGGUUCAUACAUCAGACGUCACCAGAUUUAUAUCUAUAGCACUUAUCAUCGCCAUUGAUGACUCUCUAAAGCAAUAAAUUUACAUUUGUUCUUUCAGCUUGUGGACGUAUACAGAUUGGUUGAAGACGAAGUAGAUAUUCCCACACUGGCCAUGCAAGUCGUGCAAGGUAAUAGAACGGAAAAACCCCCAUUUUGCUUCCUUUCUUUUUUGUCUUCUCUUCAUCUAUCAUUCAAAUAAUAAAGCUUUUGCAUCAAUAGAAGCCUUAUGGAGAGACUAUCACAGAUAUGCAUUCCUAACAUAACUAAGCCUGAAUCGAUAGCUGACCAUCAAUUCUCUUAUGAUCCAGUAAACAUAGGAAUCUUGGGGCAUUGAUUGUAAAUUAACAAGUAGUUUUGUAUGACUGAAGAAUGUGGUUCCUUUUGUUUUGAAUGCAGAUUUACCGAAUGUUUUCCGAGAUUUUGUGUUGUCAUGGAGCAACUCAGUAUUAUCCGACAGAUGAUGAAUCAGCUUCUCACUUACUUUUUUUGGCUCUUUUUGAAGAGGAAAGAGGUAAUAUAUAUUACAGGGAGUAGAUGGAGAAGAAAAGCGUAGAUUAAUAUAUAGUUUAAUCUUCGAUGCAUACAUGUUAUUAACUUAUACACCAAUCCAUACAUGUAAUUAUAUAAAAGCACACACAAACUUCACUUCACUUGUUACCCAGUUUGAGUCUUGGUCUCUUGGACGUUGUCUACUGUAGUUGGAUAUCUAAACACAUUAAUCGACGUCAUCAAAUCAAAGUUGUAGUGUUCUCACAACACAACUGAUUCACAAUCUGGACUCGAAUGAAUUGAAUCGUUUUGCGUCUCUUGGGUCUUGGCCUCGCCCUCGAAUACUGGAAACUAAACUGAACCAAAUGAUAUUGAGUUAUGCAAUUACACAAAAGGUCCCCUCAAUUAUCCAGUGUCAUUUUCUGCUUUCUUGAGCUGUUUGGUUUACAAAAAUUUAGGUAGGAAUCGGCAUAAGAUUAAAUCUUAUUUGACAGAAAAUUCCAUUAUCGCCAAAAAUUUCAAUCAAUAGGCGCCAAACAUUUCAAUCAAUAGGCGCCAAAAUUGGAGAAGUAAAGGGAAAAACACAAACGUAACAAGGAUUCGAGCUCUCUCUAGACGAUGCAAGCCAAAAUCAAUUCUUUCUUCAAGCCCUCCUCUUCUUCUUCUAUCGCUGCCUCAGUAACAACAGACACAGACGAUGGUUUAGCUGUCUGGGAGAACAAUCGGAACGCCAUCGUCAACACCUACCAGCGUCGAUCUGCGAUUACCGAAAGGUAAAUCAAUGAUCUUUGGCGGUUUUACUUCUCUUUAGGUUCUUCGAAUUUCCUACUUUAUUUGUGUUCUUCAGAUGAAUAGAAAAUGAGCGAUAGGCAACUCCUGAUUUUCUGGGUUUCCUUUAAGAUAUUUUUGGGCGAAAUUGGAUUUUUUUUUUUAAUUGGGUGUCUUUUUGUGUGUCUCUUAAUUUUGGGUAUUCAGAAGUGAAGUGCUUAAAGGAUGCAUCGAAAAGACGCUGAAGAAAGGAUCUUCUUCUGUACCUAAAAAUCACAAAAAGAAGCGUAAUUAUACACAAUUCCACUUAGAGUUGGGCCAAUCUGAUUUUCUUCUCAGACAUUGCGCAGAAUGUGGAGCUAAGUAUGCUCCUGGAGAUGAAUUAGAUGAGAAGAACCAUCAAAGUUUUCACAAGGACUAUAUGUAUGGACUCCCUUUUAAGGUUAGGAUCACACUGACCUUAUUGCUCAAGAUCAUAUGUUUCUUUGAUUAUUGUAGAGGUUAUUAGAUAAAUUGUUGGGUGUUUAUAUUUGGUCUCAGGGUUGGCAGAACGAGAAAGCGUUUACAUCACCUUUGUUCAUCAAGAACCGCAUCGUUAUGGUAUCAGAAAAUGAUUCCCCUGCACACAGAAACAAGGUUCAUUGUUUUCACAAUUCAACUUGCACUGUUUAUGGUACCGUACUUCGUUUCUAAACGAUGGAUCUUUUGCAAUUGCAGGUGCAAGAGGUUGUGAAAAUGAUGGAGGUUGAGUUGGGUGAGGAUUGGAUUCUUCACCAACAUUGUAAGGUAUGAGCCUGUAUCCACGUCUUAACAACAGUCAUUUGCGGAUAAAUUCCAUAGCUCAUGAGUGUUGUUUUGGUAUUUUAUGUCUACUAUAUUGAGUUCAUGGGUAUCUGAUACACCUUGUUGAGAAGCUUGGCGAAUACUUGCUUUACUUUGGUCCACUAUAAAUAGAAAAACUUCGACUUAGUCUGAUUCCUUCCAUGUCUAUGACUAGCAUUGAAAUCAAACAAAAAAGUCUAUGAUAUCUUUAGAUGACCUCAUUUCAAUAAAUUCACAAGAAAGAUGAUAUAACCCCUAAUUACUUUCCUCAGUUGUUUUAGAAACUAUCUUGUUAUGUGUAGGUUUAUCUAUUCAUAUCCUCUCAGAGGAUCUCUGGAUGUCUAGUUGCUGAACCAAUUAAGGAAGCAUUUAAGCUCAUAGCUUCUCCUGAUGAUGAAAGACAGUUACAAAAAGAGAGCUCAUCCUCGCCUUCAACCUCCAUUCAGUUUGGAAACAUUGUUCUACAAAGAGAGGUAUCGAAAAGAUGUCGAACAUCAGAUGAUAGAUUAGAUAACGGAGUCAUUGUAUGUGAAGAAGAAGCUAAACCAGCUGUUUGUGGGAUUAGAGCGAUUUGGGUCUCACCUUCUAAUAGAAGAAAAGGCAUAGCCACAUGGUUACUCGAUACCACGAGGUUAACAACUCUAGCAAACUACCUAAAACAAUUGUCAUGGUGAACAAACAUUCAUACAUUAUGGUGACAUUUUGUUUGUUUGUUUGUAUAAAAUCGCAGGGAAAGCUUUUGCAACAAUGGGUGCAUGCUGGAGAAAUCUCAGUUAGCAUUUUCACAACCAAGCUCCAUAGGAAGAUCUUUUGGAUCUAAAUAUUUUGGAACUUGUUCAUUCUUACUUUACAAAGCUCAGCUAAUUGAUACUCACUUUUCUUAAACGGCAUAGGUUUCAUCACAUCACAACCAUCAUCUUCACUGUUACUCCUAUUUGUCUGUCUUUUACAUAUUAGCAAGUUGGUGAAAUAUUGAUUGGCUGAUCCCAUAACAAACAAAAAGAGCAACACAUUCUUUUAUUUUUAUUUUUCUGUUUUAAGCCGUGAGUGUUUCUUUAUCUAAAGACUGAAACAAGAAACCAAACAUGAUCCAUAUGUCUAGAGAUUUUCAAGUAGAAGGUACCAAGAAGGAUCAAUGUUCAGUCUCAAUUCUCAGUCCAAAGACUAACGUUUGAAGCCGUGGGUACCAUUUACCAUCCACCAAACAUAACCCAAUCCAAUUUUUUGUCUUGGUUACUUCGAACCUCAAGUCUUUGUCUAAUGACCUCUUUAAGCCGUGUGUAACUUGAUAUUUUUCUAAAGACUGAAAAAAGAAACCGAACAUGAUCCAUGUCUAGAGAUAUUCAAGCCGUGGGUACCAAGCAAGAUCAAUGUUUUGUCUUACGACUUAGUCUAAAGACUAAAGUUUGCAGCCGUGGGUACCAUUUACCUUCCACCAAACAUAACGCAAUCCAAUCUUUUGUCUAAGAGAUUGGUUACUUCGAACCUCAAGUCUCUGUCUAAAGAUCUUUUUAAGCCGUGGGUAACUUGGGCUUUGUCUAAAGACUAAAACAAGAAACAAAACAUAAUCCAUAUGUCUAGAGAUAUUCAAGCCGUGGGUACCAAGCAGGAUCAAUGUUCAGUCUCACGUCUCAGUCUAAAGACUAAAGUUUGAAGCUGUGGGUGCCAUUUACCUUCCACCAAACAUAACCUAAUCCAAUAUUUUGUCUAAAGGAUUAGUUACUUUGAACCUCAAGUCUCUGUCUAAAGACUGUUUUAAGCCGUGGGUAUCUUGAGCUUUGUCUAAAGACUGAAACAAGAAACAGAACAUGAUCCAAAUGUCUAGAAAUUUUCAAGGCGUGGGUACCAAGCAUGAUCAAUGUUCAGUCUCAAUUCUCAGUCUAAAGACAAAAGUUUAAAGCCGUGGGUACCAUUUACCUUACACCAAAUAUAACCCAAUCCAAUCUUUUGUCUAAAGGAUGGGUUACUUCGAACCUCAAGUCUCUGUCUAAAGACUUUUCUAAGUCGUGGGUAACUUGAUCUUUGUCUAAAGACUGAAACAAGAAACUGAACAUGAUCCAUAUGUCGAGAGAUUUUCAAGCCAUGUGUACCAAGAAGGAUCAAUGUUCAAUUUCAAUCUAAAGACUAAAGUUUAAAGCCGUGGGUACCAAUUUCCUUUCACCAAACAUAACCCCAUCCAAUCUUUUGUGUAAAGGAUUGGUUACUUCGAACCUCAAGUCUCUCUCCAAAGACAUGUUUUAAGCCGUGGGUAAAUAGAUCUUUGUCUAAAGACUGACAAAAGAAACCGAACAUGAUCCAUAUGUUUGAGAUUUUCAAGCCGUGGGUACCAAGAAGGAUCAAUCUUCAGUCUCAAGUCUCAGUCUAAAGAUUAGAGUUUGAAGCCGUGGGUACAAUUUACCUUCCACCAAACAUAACCCAAUCCAAUCUUUUGUCUAAAGAAUUGGUUAUAUUGAACCUCAAGUCUCUGUGUAAAGACUUUUUAAGCCGUGGGUAACUUGAUUUUUGUCUAAAAACACAAGAAACCGAACAUGAUCCAUAUGUCUAGAUAUUUUCAAGCCGAGGGUACCAAGAAGGAUCAAUGUUCAGUCUCAAGUCUCAGUCUAAAGACUAAGUUAGAAGCCGUGGGUACCAUCUUCCUUCCACCAAACAUAACCCAAUCCAAUCUUUUGUCUAAAGAAUUGGUUACUUCGAACCCCAUGUCUCUGUCUAAAGACUGUUUUAAGCCGUGAGUAACUUGAUCAUUGUCUAAAAAGUGAAAUAAGAAACCGAACAUGAUCCAUAUGUCUAGAUAUUUUCAAGCCGAGGGUACCAAGCAGGAUCAAUGUUCUGUCUCAAGUCUCAAUCUAAAGACUAAAAUUUGAAGCCGUGGGUACCAUUUACCUUCCACCAAACAUAACCCAAUCCAAUCUUUUGUCUAAAGAAUUGGUUAUAUUGAACCUCAAGUCUCUGUGUAAAGACUUUUUUAAGCCAUGGGUAACUUGAUUUUUGUCUAAAAACUGAGACAAGAAACCGAACAUAAUCCAUAUGUCUAGAUAUUUUCAAGCCGAGGGUACCAAGAAGGAUCAAUGUUCAGUCUCAAGUCUCAGUCUAAAGACUAAGUUAGAAGCCGUGGGUACCAUCUUCCUUCCACCAAACAUAACCCAAUCCAAUCUUUUGUCUAAAGAAUUGGUUACUUCGAACCCCAUGUCUCUGUCUAAAGACUGUUUUAAGCCGUGAGUAACUUGAUCAUUGUCUAAAAAGUGAAACAAGAAACCGAACAUGAUCCAUAUGUCUAGAUAUUUUCAAGCCGAGGGUACCAAGAAGGAUCAAUGUUCAGUCUCAAGUCUCAAUCUAAAGACUAAAGUUUGAAGCCGUGCCAUUCCUUUCACCAAACAUAACCCAAUCCAGUAUUUUGUCUAAAGAUUGGUGUUUUCGAACCUCAAGUCUCUGUCUGAAGAAUUUUUUAAGUCGUGGGUAACUUAAUCUUUGUCUAAAGAUUGAAACAAGAAACCGAACAUGAUCCAUAUGUCUAUAGAUUUUAAAGCCGCGGGUACCAAACAAGAUCAAUGUUCAGACUUUUAUUUCUAAAGCCGUGGGUAAUUGUCUAAAGUUCGAAUCAAGGAUCAAUGUGUGUUUGAAGCCGUGGGUACCCUCUUUUCCUUGCACCAAACAUAACCCAAUCCGAAUUUUGUCCCUUAAGUCUCUGUCUAAAGACUUUCUUAAGCCGUCUCUGUCUAAAGACUUUUUUAAGCCGUGGGUAACUUGAGCUUUGUCUAAAAACUGAAACAAGAAACUGAACAUGAUCCAUAUGUCUAGAGAUUUUAAAGCCAUGGGUACAAAGAAGGAUCAAUGUUCAGUCUCAAGUCUAAGUCUAAAGACUAAAGUUUUAAGCCGUGGGUAACUUGAUCUUUGACCAGUAAACUGAAACCAAUUCCAAGUAUAUUUGUCAAAAUAAUAAGCCGUGGGUAAAAGAUCGGUUUUCAGUCUCAGGUCAAAAUCCCUCAUAAGCCAACUUGACGGGACAAUGUCCCCAAGAAAGAAUCUGACAGAACACUAAUAGUUGAGUGUCUGCCUAUGAUUUCUCUUGGGUUUGAAAGAAAAACAAAACAAUGAAGAAAUCAAACAAACAAAACAGCAAAACAAGAGCAACAAAACCACAACCGAUCGCAACAAUAAAGCGGUACAAAAAAAACAAAACGAAAACCAAAACCUAACACAAAAAGGAAGAAAGCAACAAUCUUUAAUUCACAGAAACUUUGAAACGCAGAGUCGCGAUUCGUUUGGUUUUGCAAAACGAAAAGAGAACCAAACAAAAACAUGAUAAUAGCAAAAUUUAGAAACCCUAGAAAUCAAGUGGAUUAGAAGAAUUCUUACAGUGGUUAUCGCUACAAAUCUUCUUCGGCCAUAAAUGUUUCGAUCGACAGAAACAUGCGAAACAGAGAAAGAGUUGAUGAUAUUUAAAUUUAGAAACACUAGAAAUCAAGAGAAUUGGAAGAUUACUUACAAUGGAUUUGUCGCUCCAAAUCGUCUUCCGUCAUGAUAAAGCGAUCGAGAGAAAUAUGCCAAACAAAGAAUCAAGAAGGCAGAACAAAAUUCUAAGAAAAUUAUGACGCUUUCUGAUAAGCUUUCCCGUUUUUAUAGACACUAUCUAAAACGGUGCCAGCUGGCUGAUUUCCUUUUUCUAUAACGCCGAAUUUCCUUUUUUUUAGUUAACAUAACUUUACUUAUUUCUAGUUUCUAUUUAUUAAAAGUGGGCCUUAUGUUAGCCCAAUUUAAAUUAAUGGGCUCGUUACAUCACGCAUAGUUUUGCGAUCAUUUUUAUUUAGCUUUUGUUUGUUUUUGUGAAUUAUUAUUACUCCAUUAGAACAAGUCAAAUACAAGCUUAGAAUUUUUAAUUCUAGAUAAACAAAAAGCUUCACUCUUCUUUUGUUUGUCACAACUUUAUUGUUAUUUAGAUUUUUAACGAGUUUAAUAAGAAAUGGAAAAAAGGAGUUUUACUUAAUAUAGAUUGUUUGAUAUUAUUCCAAGCAAACCAAACAAAACAAAACAAAAACAUUAGAAAAACAAUAAAAACUAGUCAAAGCUUUUUAUGUAUUUUGCAAGAAGAAUUUGUUGAUUUAUUUCCUAAUUUAAAUUUAUAUGUACAGUAAUUUGAAAACUUACUAUUUGUGAAAUACUAACCUGUAGUAUAUUUUUGAUUAUGUUAUUUUAUUAAAAAAGUCGUCAUAAAAUAUUUUAGAUUAAUGAAAGAAACCUUCCAUUAAUUAAUAUAUUAAGGAUAUUAAAAUAGCUGCUAAUAGUUUAAUUAGUGUAUUGAAAAGGUAAAAAUGGUUAUGGGGAUUGAGAGAAAAAAGCUACCAACUGCGAAACACUAUCCCCACAAGCAAACCCCAUCAUCUCCCUUCUUCUUCUUCUUCUUCCACUUCCCUUUGUAACUUUCAAUCUCAGGUCAGCUUCUUCGAUUUCCUUCUUUAUUUCUCCAUGUUUUUCAUCUGCUUACUGAUUUCCAAUUCAGUGAUUUGGAUCCGUCGUUUCUAAUUUCGCUAGGGUUCUUCUGCUCUCAUAUGUUUUUAUAUCGCGAUCAGUUUUCUAAAAUCCUUUGAUUUUGAAUCCGAUUCUCACUCUCUCUUGGUUUCUUCGUGUUUCACUAGCAACUGAAUCGUUUUCAUCGAAUUGGUUUUAGAGGUUUUAUCUUUUGCAUUCUUAUUUGCAGAUUUGAGAUUGUGAAAAAAAUACUUAUUAGUCUCCUUUUACAUUCAUAUAUUCAGCUAAUAUCAAGUAACGUGGAAAGGAUUUGUUCCGUCAAAGGUUGGUGAUUAUACAGAGACUGAGUUCCUGAUAAGUUGGAUUGAGCUUGUUUUCAUUUGCGGAUCUUUGAGAAAAAAGUUUGCAACUUUAUGGCUCUGGAACAACAACAUGUUUGUGAAAAGCGGCUUCAAGCCAAGACCUUUUCUACCCAAGAGUUUCAGUUGACUCUCAAUUGGGAUGAUUUAACUUGUCCCAUUUGUUUGGAUUUCCCUCACAAUGGUGUGCUUCUCCAGUGUUCUUCUUACGGAAACGGUUGCCGUGCUUUUGUCUGCAAUACUGAUCACCUUCACUCUAACUGUUUGGAUCGUUUCAUUAGCGCCUGUGGUACUGAAUCACCUCCUGCUCCUGAUGAGCCUCGCUCUAAGGUUUUAGAAGAGAGUUGCAAACCUGUGUGUCCACUGUGUAGAGGAGAAGUUACUGGCUGGCUUGUUGUAGAAGAAGCUCGUCUUCGUCUUGAUGAGAAAAAACGUUGCUGUGAGGAAGAACGAUGCAGGUUUAUGGGUACUUACUUGGAGCUUCGCAAACAUGCUCAGUCAGAGCAUCCGGAUUCUCGUCCUUCAGAAAUUGAUCCAGCACGGAAGCUUGACUGGGAGAAUUUCCAGCAGUCGUCUGAAAUAAUCGACGUGUUGAGCACAAUUCACUCAGAAGUUCCAAGAGGAGUGGUUUUAGGGGACUAUGUGAUCGAAUAUGGAGAUGAUGACACAGGAGAUGAAUUUGAGGAUGUUCCCAACAAUGAAGGAAACUGGUGGACAUCUUGUAUUCUCUAUCAAAUGUUUGACAAUAUAAGGAAUGCCAGGAAUCGAAGAAGAUCAAGAAUGAGUGAGAGUAGGAGAGGGAGUCGCCGCUCUAGCUAUGAGAAUUCCAACUCUGAUGACAGCUCAGUAGCAUCCAUAGAGUUUCCGGAGUAUAGAGUAGAUGAGAUCGAUGACGAGUUCAUCAGCACAAGUGGAGCUAACAGAAGUAGCUCUAUGCACCAAAGGUCAGAAUAAUCUAUAGCUUUACACCACUAAUUUUGUAUUGUUGCUGUCUGCAGAGAUAUACAUUCUUACUUUCAUAGUUUAUAAUUAUUCUGCAUUGAUAUUAAAGGCUUACCAGUGAGCCUGGUUUUUAGGCACCUCUUGAAUGACAAAUUAGCUAAUCAGGCCCCAUUGUGUGAUAUUUCUGGCAUAAUAGCUUGGGGUGUUGACCUGGUUUAGUAGCUUUCUUGUGCUAUAUAUGAUGGUUACUUAAGAGACAUUGCUUGAUGCCUUGUUUUCUCUGAUUUACAGUUCAAGAAGGCGUCGAACCCGCUUCUAUGAAAAUUAGGUAUUAACCUUCUGUUUCUAUGCUUUUGGUACUGUCUUCUUGUGAAUCUGUAAUGUUCCUUUUCGUUCUUUCUCAGUCAGCUGGAAAAUGAAGCGAAGCAAAUGAUGCAGACCAGCCUAUUUGUAGCCAGUGUUCUUGGUUUUGGACCUCUUUCUUCUUUUUCUUUUUGUUUCUACACAUAAAUUUUAUUUUAGGUUUGUCUUGUGACAUUACUCGCAGCAGUCGCAGCCUUUGUACAAAAACUAAACAAAAAGCCUUUUUGGGAUAUUGUAGUACCCUUUUGUCGUUGUCUCUUCUUUGUUUUACAUGCAUCUCUGGACAAUGUAGAUAUUGAGAGUAAAUCAGAAGUCAACGUUCGUGUAUUAAUUUUUAACAUUUCUAUUUCAGUGAACAUACUCUUUUUAAAGCUUACUCUUAUUACCAAGUAGCAACACAACUUGGUCAAAGACUCAAAAGUACAUGAAAUCAUCAUACAAUCCAACACUUGAGAACAAGUGGCACAUACACAGAAACUAAUAUGGGACGUUAUUGGGCAAGUUUCUUAUGACAUUACUCUUCACUCCGAUCUUGGUACGCAUUGUCUCGCCUCUCUUGCUCAUCUCCUUGCGCACUUUCAUCCUCAAAGUCUCCUCUUUCGACGGUACUGUCUUCAGACCCAGGCUCUUGUACCUGAGAAUUUACCAUUUGUUGGAAUAACCUUAGUUUACCUUGCCGAUUAUCUGAUUGGAUAGACUCGGAUGAUUAACGGGUUUGGAGAAAACAAACCUUGAAGAUAAAGAGGCAAUUAUCUGGUUGCUGUCUUGAGAAGUUGGGCGUGGCUUCUGUCUGUAGUAACGCAUGAAUUCACGGGACCCGAGAGUUUUAGACGUUGUUGUGUUCUCGGACUUCUCCGUGAUCAAGAGCUCAGAACCACCAACGAGUUCUACAGUAUUGUCUGUUUCACCAGAUACAACAAUUUGCUUUCCAGCUUCAUCAACAUAGCUGCUCAAUUCAUAUAUUCCAAAGAAAGGUGCGGAUUAAGAUUUGGCAUAGAACGAGGAAUACAGGCGAGAACAAGAAUAAUCAGAGAUAGAAGAGAGUUGAAACCUGCUGCUGUAGUCAUAAAACUCUUCUAGCUCAGCAUCUUCUUCAUCAUCACCAUCACCAUAAUGCAGUUUGCAAUGACUCUUUGCUUCCAUAUGUUUUCUUACAGCUUCUAAGCUGCUGAAUGGACGGCACAGCUCAUUGCAGUACAGACACAUGAAGUCUCUCUUGACCUAAAUGAUGAGCAAUGUAUAAGUAAACAGGAGUAAGAAUUUCAAAGCUUGACAACAACGAACACUGAAUGGUAAAUUGAUGAGUCCAAACCUUAAGACCAAGGUAAGUGAGAAGCCCUUCAGGAUCCUUGAGAUACUCAAUAUCGGGAAUAAAGAAACCAUGAUGCUUAUGCAUGUGAAGCAUACAGCUCUCUAAGGUCUUAUGUUUUUUGUCACACAUCAAACAGCAGGUUGGAUCCAGCUCAUACUUAUCUGCAUCACCAUCAUCAUCCAUAUCUUCAGCAGAUCCAGACUCAUUCACAUUCAACUUAGACAAAGAAUCAGAGGCUUCUUCAGCAGCCAAUUCCUCGUCAGAAUCAACCUCCACCCAUUCAUCUUCACUAUCAUCAUCAAUGGAACCCCUGUGUUGAACACGGCGAGGAAGUUGCCUGAUAAUCGCUAUAUCCUCCUCUCCGUUGAUUGAUGUCCCUUGUGAAACCCGCAAAACAUGGCUACGCGACUGAAGAUGCUGCUCAUGAGCCUUGGAACUCCUGUAACCUUUAGCACAGAUUGCACAAGUAUAAAGCAUAGGUGCUUCAUUUGAUUUAUUCUUCUCCUGAGCAAGAGCAGAUUGUCUAGCCUCAAACAAGGCUUCUGUAACUCCAGGAACUCCAGCCACCUAACAUAAAAAAUUACAGAAAUACAAAGAUUCAAAUGCCUAGAAGUAACCAAAUCUAUGAUUAUUGAAAUCCUUGUUCCUUAGUAGAAUAAGCUUCAAAACAAAUUUUCAUAUAAACUCUACGAUUCCAUAACCUUAACUAAACAAUUUCGAUAGCAAAAUGGAAAAGCUGUUUCUCAGAAACUUUCAUCUCAUCACCGACGCAAGAUUUUCCCGAGAAACAGAUAGGCUUGAGUUCAAAUUCGAUAGAGAAAGCAGAAGAAAUGAAACCUUGCGCUUGAGAUUGUAGCGGUGCCAAUCGGAUUUGUAAUGAAGGUUACGUUCUUCUUCGUCCUUGAACUCCAUGUUACACGCGUUACAUGUUAAACCAGGCAUCUUCUCUCCUUCAAUAUCGAUCGAUUCUAGAAAUGGAAACUGGAGAAGAAAAGAAAAUCAGAGAAAAGAUAGUUGGGAGGAUAAGAUUUGUUGUUGAUAUGUGUAGAGCAACGACGGCUCGUAAAUGGAUCGGCGAUCGUGUUUGUCUCUAAAAAAGCGUCGAUUGAUGAUGAUUGAUUGCCAUCAAAAUGAAAAGGAAGGCGCCCCGCCCAUUUUAGAUCCGAUCGGGUUGGAACUGACCCGUUCCUGACCCGAUACAAGAGUAGCCCAUUUGGCCCAUUCUUUUAGCCUUUUUGUAACACUGACACAGUUGACGAAUUAAGUAUUACUGUAUGAGUAACCAAAAAACAUUUUUCUAAUAUUGUUUUUAAAAUAACUACUUACAACUUGAUUAAUUACUUCGUUUAAUCAUGUAACUUUUUUUUCUUCCAAAUUCUAAUCUCUCUAUUAAAUUACUGCAUUUAUAAGAUCUAAACAUCAUGUGAUAUGUUCAAAAUAUGAAAAGAGAAGAAUAUAAUACAUGAUUUUACUACGAUUAAUUUUUUUUAAUCGCAAUGUUUUGUUUUUGCCUAAUUUUAUUAGUGGAAGAAAUUUUAACCGCAGGCCUGUAAUUUAGGAAACUAACUAUUCACCCCCAAUUAAAAAAAAAAACAAGAAGACGACAAAUAACGAGAAAUUACCAAUUUUUCCUCAACACUUUCAUUAUUUCCUACAACGAACUUCUCCCUCCUCCUCUCACUUUCACCAUGGAUUCCGUCUCCGGUUACGCCGCCGGAGCAGGUCAGCCUCGAGUCGGUGGGAAAAUUGUUCGACCACGACGCACCGCUGUUGUCAGGACGCCGUGUGAGCGCCCCGUUCAGAGAUCCCGAGAUCCUCCUCAGCAAAACCCUAGUUGGAUCUCCAGGCUCGUUUACAAACCCGCCAGCGUAAUUGCUUCCGGCGCCGGAAAAUUCAUUUCUUCCGUCGUCUUCUCCGACUCUUCCUCAUCUUCGGAGGAGGACGAGGAUUCAUCUUCAGGUUUGUACCAUUUAUUUCAGUUUAGAUAGGAUUAAUUUGAAUUUUUGGUUUAUUGUCUGGUCGAAUCUGAAAGCUACCGUUUCGUUUGAAAUGUGAAGUUUGACUUAAAGCUUUCCCAUUUUCUCUUUCCUUUAAUAUGUGGGACUUAAGAGCAGUUAAGCAUUGUUGUACUCUAUUUAGUUAGGUUACUUCUAAGCUAUAAACUUCAUACUAAUUCUAAAGCUCUAAUUUUUAUUCAUAUAAUGUAGUUCUGGGAUUGAGAAUACCAACCAGCUUUGUUGUGUCUUAUUCUUUUAAUGUAUGGAUUUUUAUAUGUUUUCUUCUUUGUUUGCAGAUAUUGAUGGUGAUGAGGAUGUUGAGAAGAACAAUCCCGAUUUUACUGAAGAGGUACUAACCACCUUGUUCGUUUUGGUGAUUGCUAUGCCACUGUAGUCCUAUGAUAAUUGUUUGAAGUAAAGUUCGUGAAGCUAACACGUUUUCAACUGAGAGUUUUUUUUAUAAAAGCAUAAUUUCAGUUUUUGUGCUUGUGUGAAUAGGACCUUCUGAGUGCCCAGCAACCAAGCAUUCAACGACUCAGUUCUAAGCGUGUAAUUGAGCAGCUUCUCUUGCAAGAAACAUUUGCAAGGUAUUUCUCUGCCUGGCUUUUUGGACAUCAUAAGUAGCAGCCUCCUCGACUAUUCUUAUUAUUUACACCUCAUAGCUUAAAGAAUCUUUCUGAGACGUGUGUAGUUACCAAAUCUAAGCUGAUCUUGUAUCCUGCUUAUUCAUUCAUGUGUAUGUUGUUUCAGGGAAGAGGGUGAUAGGUUAAUAGAUAUCAUCAAGGCUAGGGUUGUAGAUCAUCCCAGCGUCCCCUCUGCUAUUGAGACGAGUCAUGAUGACUAUGGAUUGACAAGCGGUAUGUUACUGAUGGUAGACUGUGCAAGUAGACCGGAUUAGUCUAUGUGAUAACGUCUUCUUUUCUAUUUUAUUUCUAGACGUGAAUGUGGGUGAAAUGUCCAAUACAGCUGUCAUGGAAGCAAGAAAAUGGUUGGAGGAGAAGAAAUCAGGAUCAAGUUCAAAGUAUAAAGUAAGUUCUGGAAACUUGCUUCUUAACUGUUCUAAUUGCUGCAGCCUGCAGGUAUCAACUUUUUUGUGAUAUCUUGUCUCCGUGCUCUAAGCCAUUAUUAUUAUAGAAGGAGACAUCUUCUGUUUGGGUAAAAUGAUUUGAUUGUUAUAUGCCAAUCCAUGUGAUCAGCAACUUAAAGCUCUCUUGCAAAAGUAGGUUGUUCAGAAUUCUGCGUGUGGCCAUCUGGUGACGUUAAUUCUGAAAUGUCCUGAUUGGGAAAUACCUUUUUGUCCGCUUAAAAUGCAAAAGAUCCAUAUUGUUGCUCUUCUUUUGACUAUGAAGACCAUUUACUUACAUGAUUUUGGUCAACUUCUGAUAGCUUCGCUUCACAGUAUUCUUUUUCCAUUGUACUUUAAAUGAUGAUCACCAUCUCAGCCAUUAGUUUAAAUCUCCAGGCAACUGAAGAUGGUGCUGGAUCGCCUGUGGACGUGGCCAAGUCUUAUAUGCGAGCUCGUCUGCCAUGGGGAUCUCCAGCUGCGAAUAAUUUAGAUUUUCGAUCACCAUCAUCAGCAAGAGUGCAAGGGACACCCCUUCCUUAUAGCGCUGGAAACUUUUCCUCAUCCAAGGUUAGAAUUUUAAGUUCUCCAGCAGUGCAUACUUUUCUUUUGGUCAAAUGUUGUUUGAAAGUCUGAAGUCGUUUCAUCUUGGUUUAUGAGAUAAAAUUCUCUGCUUAACUUCUAUUGUUUAUGUUAGAUAACCACGAGGAAUUUGUGGGACACUAUUUCCAGCUAUUCCUAAAGAAAAGUUGCAUACCGUUAUAUGUAUUUUCAAUGGCUCUCUCAAAUUUACCCUUAUUCAUUCUGACAUUGGUUACCAAAUGCAGCUGAAAAGGAAGUCCGGUUCUAAUCAGUCAUGGAAUAUUCAAGAUGAAAUUCGCAAAGUCAGAGCUAAAGCAACCGAGGAAAUGCUUAAAAGUCCCAGUAGUGUAGCCUCUUUGGAACCUAAAUACAGCCCCUAUGUUUUAGCGACUGAUAUGCUCAAAGGAAAUGCUUCGUCUUUGAAUGCUGAUGGAGGUGUUUUUUUUCUUUCUUUAUUCACACGUGGAAGAAGUUUUUCAGUAAGACAUGAGUUGAAACUGAAAUUAACUCUUCUUUUCUGUUCUUUCAGCUGUACGGAAUGAACAAAGCAGAGCUCUACCAAAUUCAGCCAUACCUACCUCUGAGCACAAUCAGGUAUCAAGCACUCUUUACACUAUGUGUCUCUCAUUACCAAGAAAAAACUUGCAGUUCCAAUCUUUCUUGUUUUGGUGUCCUUGUGUGUUUUACUUGAGUGAAGACUACGGAAGCUAAUCAAGCCGUCAAAGAAACAGGAGUUUUACACACUAGAUCUCGUUAGUUUCUCCCUUAAUCCUUAAUUUGUAUACACUCUCUCAUCUUCGCUUUUUAUACUCUGUCUCAUGGAUUUAAUGUGUUCUGAUUAGGUGGAGUUGGUUUGGAGGAGACAUUUAUCUCCACACAAGGAGUCAAGCCAUCUGAAGAUACGAAUACCGCUCCUCAAAGGUUCUUUUUAUUGUGCUUAUCCUUCCAACACAGAUUGUACCUUGUUUCUUUUUGACAGAUAUGUUUUUUAGUAUAUCAAUCUUCUGAAGUUUUUCAACUGUAUGCGACAGUGGAACUGCUGUAGAUGACUUCAAUGAUCAAGAUGGCGAUUUUAUCCAACCUACUUCUACUAUCGGAAACACCACAAAUGGUAUACAUUGGAUGUUGAAUUCCUUUGGUUCUGAUUUUUAGUUGGGUUCUCUUAAUUUACUUGCGCUCCUAUUGAUGCAGCUGUCUUGGCUCUUGGGGCAACUUUGGAUCCUACUGGGAACUCUUGCAUCCCUAAAGAUGUGUUUGAAACAUCAAAAGAAGCUGAUGAAAUAGGCGCAUCACGUCAUACUUCUAACGGUUUCCCAUCUUCAUCACCUAGGUGAAAAGCAACUCCUUUGUCUGGCUAGUUUGACAUGAUGACAUUAUUUCCUCCUAAGCAAAGCCUUACUUUUUCAGUUCACCAGCGGUUAUGGAAGGUCAACCAAAACCCACACCACCAGAAGAAACCAAGGCUUCUCAGCCUAUAGCUGAAAUUCAUGGUGAUGAUAUGACAGUAGGGAAUGGCUCAGAUGGUGCAAUUAAUAACGAAAGCAAUGACAGCCACUCAAGUGCCUCUAACAGUUCAAGCACCCAUGAAGAAGAGUGGCUCCCAGGAGACCAGUCUCUACCUAACUCAAACUCAGCAAGUAGCAGCCCGGGAAAUACCAAGGUCUUGGCAUACAGCAGAAGAGGAAGAGGCCGAGGUAGAGGAAGAGGCAGAGGAGGUCGAGGCAAAGGACGGGCCAAAUAAACUUUGUAAGAUGAGCUGUACACAACAAACACAAUGCAGUAGGAGAGUAUUAUGAUGAGGUAGGAUUAUGUGACAUCUCUUUUAGAUUUGAAUCCCACUCUGUUUGUGUUUGGUCUUUGGUCACUUCGUUAUCUUUUUAGGUUAUCUUGUAGUAUUUGAGUUAGGAGGAUUUGUCUUGUCGAGUUAUGUGGAAUUGUGUCUCUGUUGUUUCUUUCAUUUGUCUGAAAUCUCUAAUGUUUAAUGUUGUAAGUUUGAAGCUUGGUUUCGUUCCAGCUGACGAAGCUUUGUAGUUUGCAGUUUCCAUAUGUUGAAACUCUUUUUCUUUUGUUCGAUGCCAAAUUUUUAAAUCUUUUUUACUUGACCAAAAAGCCAACACCUAAUUUUUUUGGGGGAAAUCUCAAGUACUAACACCACUCAUCUUUUAACCUCGUAAAGUGUCAAGUAAACAAAUUCUGACAUGAUCCAAUAUUAGAUGAGAUCACUCAGAUCAAAACAUUGUAAGAUGAAUAUAAUCAAAUGGGUUCAAUCUAGUGUUACACAAUCUCUUACCAAAGUACAAAAGCAAUAACGAGCGAAAAGAAGAAACCCAAUAACCAAUUUUAUCAAGACAGACAGAAAGAGAGAGAGAAAAAACAAAACAGACAGAAACAAAAGUGAAGAAAAACGAACAACAAAAACCCAAUAAGCAGCGAUCGAAGCUAAAAUAAACACAGAAGAGCGAAAGCGCUCAGACAUUCAAAUCUGAAAAGCCAUACGAAAGAAGAAGCCACGAAGAUUCAAUCGAAGCAGAAGUGUAUUAUUAAGAAGCCGAGAAAUCAUUGGGUUGGUGUCGGAACUCGGAAGUUACUUGUUUUGUUCCGAUUUUUCUUUUGUCUGAAUUCUUUCUGGUCAAAUCUUCCAACACUUGUUCUUCUGCUUACAAGCUUGGGUCCCGCUUCUCAUUGCCCGCUUCCUCCUUCUUCAAUUCGAAUUUCAUCAUUCUUUAGGCAAUUCGAAUCUGUUGCUCUGUUCUCAAAGCUCCAAUCAUUUGUUCAACUCAACUGAUCUCGAUUUGCUCCAACUCAAAUUUCGGGAAUUCUCAAAGUUCUUAGCUUCCGAAUUGGGCGUGAAACAAAAAAUGCGGGGUUUUUCUGCUCUGAUUCAGUUUCGUCUUCUUACUCGCUCGUGAACUUGGAGAAACGGUUAGUUGGAUUGAUUCUUCCUUCUUGAUGGAUUGAUUUGCUAAUUCCAAGCUAGGGUUUGUAAUAUACUCUGAUUCUGAAACAGCCGAGGUUGAAUUUCAAAGCUGGCUAGUAGAUAAUGAUCUCUAGGGUUUGGGUUUUUGGGGAGAUGAGAUUGGAGUGGCCUGUACUAAAAAGCUUCAGCUGAGUUCUUGAAAUGCUUCUGGAUUUGAGUUUGAGAAUAAAUACGUUGAUGAGUUGGGUUUGUUUGUGUGAAGGAUAACUAGAAGCUGAGAGGGUGCAUUUUGUGCACUCCUCUGACUGUUUCACUUAGUUUCGGUUUAGAAGAAGAAGCCAGAAAGAAGUAUGCAACGUCUUCAAGAUCCCAGGAUUGAUCUAGCUGAGCUAAAAGUGCAUAUAGUGAAGAAGGUUGGGGUUGAAAGAUCUACAAGGUAUUUUUACUACUUGGGCAGGUUUCUGAGUCAGAAGCUUACUAAGAGUGAGUUUGAUAAGUCAUGUUUCCGUCUUUUGGGGAGAGAGAAUCUUUCUCUUCACAAUAAGUUGAUUCGUUCCAUCUUGAGAAAUGCAUCUCUGGCUAAGUCCCCACCAUCAGUUCACCAAUCCGGUCACCCUGGCAAAUCUUUGGUGCUUGGGAAAGAAGAUGGACCUGAAGAAAGCAGAUCUCUAAACCCUGACCAUAUUAGGAAUGAUCUUGCUUUGUCCAAUGGGGUGUUAGCCAAGGUUAGGCCUGGAACAUGUGACGACAGGACAAUCAGAGAUAAGCCUUGUCCGCUAGGGUCAAACGGAAAGGUUUUGGGUCCUUUUGCUUAUUCAAGACCUGGUCGAUAUCCUGAUGAAAGAGACAGUGCAUUUCUUUGCCCUGCUGAACAAAAGGCGGUUUCCGGUAAAGAUCAGGUUGCAGCUCCAAUUAGCAGAGAUGAUGAAGCUCAAGUAAGGAUUCUUUCCACACCUCCUGUAAUGGCACCUCUGGGGAUUCCAUUUUGUUCGGCUAGUGUCGGUGGGGACCGCAGAACAGUUCCAGUUUCGACCAGCGCAGCUGCUAUCAGUUGCUAUGACAGUGGUGGAUUAUCAGAUACAGAGAUGCUGAGGAAGAGGAUGGAGAAUAUUGCAGUAACACAGGGUCUUGGAGGGGUUUCAGCGGAGUGUUCUAUUGUUUUAAAUAACAUGUUGGACUUGUACCUGAAGAAACUAAUGAAAUCAUGCGUUGAUUUGGCUGGAGCUCGGUCCAUGAAUGGAACGCCUGGAAAACACAGUUUAGAAAAACAGCAGAGCCGAGACGAGCUUGUAAAUGGGGUGCGAACGAAUAAUAGUUUUCACAUACAAACUAGCAACCAACCAUCUGACAUAACGCGAGAACAACAUUCAGUGUCUUUGCUUGAUUUUAGAGUUGCAAUGGAGCUAAAUCCACAUCAACUUGGUGAAGACUGGCCAUUGCUACGGGAAAGAAUUUCCAUAUCUUUAUUCGAGGAACGAGAAGGGGUGUAAAAGAAAAUGCUUGGCAUGUUGGAUGCUGCAAAUUGUCUGAGUAAGCUCUCUGGUCCAAAAAAACUGGCCACUGAUUUUGGUAGCAGAACGAUUCUUGAGCUCUGCAUCCCAUGUGGACAUGAUGGCUGAUUGACACAACUAUGUCCUGCAGCCGCAAACUCGGGGCAGGUUAGUAGAUAUGAAUGAAUACGUGUUGUUGUAAGAUCAAAAGAAAUUUGGCCAUUCCUGCGAGUAUCAAGCUUUGUGUGUAAACCCAGGCCGAUAAGGAAAUCAAGAGAAAGUUUUGGCUGAGAUACUGUGGGUUUUAGGCAAGAGCAAGGUAUAAACAAUCAUGUAAUAGUUGCAGUAUUGCUCUGUAUGUAACAUAGUCUUAGAAUUGUUUUAGAAUUCAUAUCUUGAAGACACAUUGACAUCACUUUUACAUUUACAUUUACAUUUUUGUUACCUCAUUUCAAUGAAAAAGUUAUUUUCAAAAUCAGUAAAAUUGCCUCAUUUUUAUUUUUUACUACUGGUUGGUUUUCUUGCUUGUUUCGUUUUCCCUACAAGGUAUUGACAUCAACUAUUUCAGAUGAUCCCAUCAAGUAAUAUUCAGAUUCUAAAUCCCUUGAUGAAUCUGCUUUCGGUUUCUCAUUCUAUCCACCAGCAAUUGUUGCUUUCUUUUUUGGGAAACCUUUGGCUCUUACUUCGAAAAUAUGCAGAAUGCGACUCCAGUUUCUUUUUUGAAUGUCUUUCUAAGUUUUCUCUUAAGUCCAUAGAUCCAAAGAACCACGCUCUUUGUUGCUUUUCAACAAAUUGUCCAAUUUUAAGAAUUAAAAGAUCAUGUUUACUUGAUCUUCAAAGUUCAAAUGAAAUCGUUUCCGUCUUUCCCACUUUACAUUACGGAAGUCAACAGUAAAGAGAGGAAAAGACAAGAGAAACACAGGAUAGCUUUGUCAUUAGACAAAAGGGAGAGAGAGACAGAGCCGGUGUGAAUUGGUAUGUACACAAAGGAAAUGGUGAGGCCUUUUUUACGCAGGUUCCAUUGUUGUUCACAGGCUUUAGAUGAAAGAACUAAUACAACGAACGAGGAAGAAGAAGAAGACGGUUAUUUAGAGGAGGUUUCGGCUGUGGCUUUGCAGAUUGGGCACCAACUCUUUAUCCGCAACCACUCUUGCACACACUUCACAUGGUAUGUGUGCUCACAGUGUAGCCUCCCAACUUCAUCUCCAAUCGUAUAUUCUUCCUGAGAAUAACAAAGAUCAGAGUAUGAAGAACUGUAGAGAAAAGGGAAAGAAAACUUCUGAUUUUACAUAUACAUAUCAGUUCUAUAUCCACCAUCAUGUCAUCAAUGAAACGCCUGUAAUCAUCAAAGAUUUCGGUGUUGUUCACUUAGCUAAAUCAACCCAUGACAGGUUUUACUUAAGAUUUCAUCAAAGCCAAAGACUUGAUUAUGACUAACAAAAGGGACAGACCUGGCAGAUGCUGCAUUUGGCAUCUUCCUUGUUAUCACUAGGACUUUUGGUGAUAGACCCAUAACUCAAAGGUUUCAUCUGAUAGAUACUUGUUUUCAAGCACUUUGAUAUUGCUUCUUCUGUCAAAGCAGUGCUUACUGUACCAAUCCUCUCUUCUAGAGCUAAUAGUUCCUGUAUUCAAUCAAAAGAAAAGACAAAACGGUAAAGAUACUACAUCCCAAAACAAAACGUGGGUUUCAAAGAUGUAAAGACGAACCUCAUAUGACAUGUUAUCGAUGUCUAGCCUCAUGUCUCGGUGUUGGUCAUGGAAGCUUAGUCCACCGAGAAGUAAACCUGUUUCCAUGAUAAGCAGAUCCUGCUCAAAGAGAGGAAAAUAUGAGUAACAACACGCAUCACAAUAUCUGAAACUCAAAAGUCAAAACAUGUGUUAAUAAUAUUCAACCUCAUAAUUAAGUUCGAUAUCUUGUUCGAUCCUAUCAAGUUCUGGCAGAAUCUGCAAAAGCAUCCGAGAAACAUAAAACAACAAAAGUUAAACGGUGUUAAGGGAAUUGUCGUAAGCACUAUUUGAUGAUGCUCAGACAAGAUAGAUGUCUCGUAGAGUAAGUAACAGACAAUAGUUACCUCGGAGAUCCCAUCUAAAUUAUAACUGCGAAAACUGUCAUGACUCAAUAAGGAACCAGAGAGGCCAAAUUCUGGAAAACCAGAGAACAGCUCCAAAGAGACAGGAGAAUUGAGAUUGUUUGAUGUUUCAGUCUGAGACAUCUCUGCUGCCGUGACAGAGGAUAAACCGUCUCUACCACUCCCUCUAAUGCGACUAUUAUUUCUAUUUGCCAAUCUCUGACUCCCAACUGAAGCAACAUCGUUGUCAUCAUCCAAAAUGCAGUGUCUAGCCCGUCUACUAUCAGAAACAGAACCUCUCGGAUUAAAACUACGACGUCUCACUUCAACUGGUGGAGGUUCUGUUACAUUCUUCCCCCUAGCUGAGGAGCUAGAACUGCUUUCUCCGUAAACUUUUGUCUUACUGAUUGUAUCUGCCUUCCGACUUAAUCUUUUGUCCAAUCCAAAACCACUUGGAAUGACACCUGACAACAACGGGCUGCAUCCCCGGUUAGCAGAUGUUGACUGGCCAGAUGGACCAGGAUGAAACUCUUGCUUGCUCAACCCAAAUCUCUGCCUAAAACCUCUCUUGAUUCUUGAGCUUGAUGGCAACUUUGAGCAUUCCGCUUCAGGUGUUAUAACUUUUCCAUAAAUAAGUUUAUUGUUCAUUCUUCUUUUAUCUCUUCCAAGAGGAACUUGCAAGAUUUCUGACUCUACCUCGUCUUCACUACCUCUGCUGCUCUCUGAUGAAUCAAUGGCUAUCUGAGAAAACGGUUGCUUCUCACCACUUUUCACAGAAGAGGAGCUAGAGAUACAAAUCUUAGAGGAAGUUCCAAUUACUUCCUUCCCGUUUGGCGAAGAGCGGUAUGUAGACAACACUGAUUUCUCUUUCUUAUCUGAAGAGCCAACAAACCUAGUAAAGUUCAUUGAUUUUUUCUCAUCACUACAAAUAGGAACCUUGCAACUAUUGCUGUUAAAUCUAUCUCUAAAAACAACACCACCCUUCUUCUUAGAGUCAGGUCUCGCCUCCAUGGCUCUUUUACUGGACCACCUAUCCAUGAACUUUUUAAAUGGAUGCAAUACCUGUAACAAAAAUAUUCCUUAUUUUAGUUAACCAAAACUAUUCAUUGGGACUUAAAAGUUCGCCAAAGAAUAAAAAAAAACACAGGAAAAACAGAUCAGAGACUGAAAGAAAACAACGAGCAAAAGAUCAAUACAUAUUCAUACUCUCUGAGACUAAACUGCGAAAACCUGCAAAUUCAAAACCUUUGCACCAGACAUAAAAGUAUUCAUUAGAAGAAAACAUUGUUGUUAUGAAACUCUUGUAAUAACGAUCUUAACAAUCAACAGCCAAACUUAAAGUGCUUCAAUCACAAAAGUCUAUAGCUAAAAGCUUAUCAUCUGUGAUGGUUCAAAUAAAAAUGAAACCUUUCAUAAGAUGAUGAUCCAAAGGAUGCCUAUAAUCACUUCUCAAUAAAGAAUCAUCUUGACAAGGAACUAAUAAAACAAUCAAAUUUCUUGAACAUGAAGAGAAACAAUUCUCAACAAUAAUACAUGUGUCUCUCUAUACACAAGUGAUUGGAGAGAAACAAAAACAGAACAUGUUUUCAUUUUUUGUUACCUGGUCUAAACAAAAGAGAGUUACAACUUAAAAAUCGAUUCAGAAUCAAGAACAGUAACAUCAUUCAUUUCCAAAACAUCACAAACACAAAAAAAAAGUCAAUUUGUCUCAAAACAUAAAAAAAAAUUCCAUGAUAAAGGAAGAUUUUUAGAAGUUAAGCUGUUUAUUUUGUUCGAUGAUUACCUUUAGCUUUCGUCCAAUCUUGUUCCUGGAAAUUGGAAGAUGGAGAAAAAUAGAAGAGCGUUUUGUUCUUGUUGCCGAUAUUUUUUCUUCGGUUUUUUAUUAUGUUAUUUUAAGUAAUUUAUCUUUUUGGAAUUAAGAAUAAAUCAAAUAUUUGUUUUUAUUCCAUAAUGACCUUAAAGCAAAUAUUCAUUAAAUUUUAUAUCGAAAGAAAGAAUCUGAGAUGACGAAGACGCAGAGAUCCUCGCCGUCGAUAAUGGGGUCGGAAUAUCUGACGGUUGGUAGAGAUUACGACGUCUCUAGGUAGUGGUAGAGAACUAAAGAUAUUAAACAAAAGUUAUUAUGACCAAAAUCUUUUUUAAAGAACUAAAUUUUGUUUGGUUAGAAGAUGGAAAAAGAAAACAAAAUCAUGAGAAUUCGAUAAGUAGUAUUUGGUGAUGAUGCCACGACUAAGGAUAAUCUAGUUUAAUUAUCUGUCCUCUAUUAUAGCAACAAACCUCUUAGCCUUUAUCCUUGAUUUUUGUAUUUUUAAUCUCUCUUUCUUUAUUAUUUGGCUUUUCUAAAAAAAAUAAAGUAUCAGAUUAUUUGUUGUGACUUUAUGGUAGAGCAACAAAAUUCUUUAAAUUUAAAAUAUUUGGUGGAUCCAAAUCAAAUGUAUGAAAUGAAUGGUUAAAUGAUUGAUAACAUAAAUACAUACUACAACUGAAAUAAAUACAAAAUCAGAAAAAAUCACUAACACACAUGAUUUAUAUGAACAAAAUUUCAAUUUAUUUUGGAUAUAUUGUAUAAUACUAAAAUCACUAAAAGGUCACCCACCAUUGGAGAUGAGGAAUCGAAAGAAAAUGACAAGUAUGUAAAAAUGGUAAAUAAAGAUUUCAAAGAGGUGUAAACCAUUUAUUACAAGACUUUUUCGACAUUGAUCAAAGUCAAAACGCUGAGUUAUGGGAUUCGUAGGGAGGAAUCGAACCUAUAACCUACAACCUCACAUACCUCUCACAUCUUCCAAAAUCUAAAAACGUUGAAGAAACUCAGCAAAAGAAAAGAGAGCAGCCACUAAGCUUUAGCUUCUAACCACCCAUUAUCAUCUUCUUGGUGUGACUCUGACCCUCCACCACCUUCAAUAGAAGCUUCUUCAUCACCUUUGUUUCCUCCACCUUUCUUUCGAAACGUCCUUCUAGCUUCCCGACGAGCAUCUUUCUUAGCUAUAUUCAAGUCUUUGAAUCCUUGUUCCAACUUGGCUUCAUCCUCUGGAUUGAAGAAGGCUACUUCCAUUUGACCCAGCUCUGCAUAUCUUGCCUCUACUUUGGUUUUCCAGUAAAGACCCAUCUCUGUGUCCAUCUUUUGGUAUGGUGUUUUCAGCAGGUACUCGUCUAUUCCUCCUGCUUUGUCGAUGCAGCGAAGAGCGUGUGUUGUGACUUUGACUUUAAUGUGACUGUCGAAUAUGUAGCUGAACAAUCGCUUCUCCUGGACAUUCGGUUUCCAACAUCUUCUUGACCUGUUCUCAAAUCACACCACAAACAAGUUACCAAACAAUACAGAAGAAAUCAGAUUAAAACUCAUAAGUAUCCUACAUUUCUCUAGAAAGGGGAUAGAUUUCAUCACACCAUUGUUCAAAUAUUGAGAAUCUUUAGAGUAGCAUGAUACAGAAACAAAACAACAAUGCCAUCUUCAGGCAACAAAUGAGAGAUGCUAAACAAAAUGAGGCACUAUAAAAUCUCUAACCAUCUAAGAUUUCGAACCCUCUUAAAUAGUUUCAGAUUUCUACCAAAUUGAAACCUAAAUCCAUGAAGCAUUCCUAAGAACCUGUAGUUUAGCUCCUCCGAUGCUUGAAUAUUAAGCAAAACCAUCACAAGCUCUAAAUCCGACCAACCUCAACCGACUACACAUACACAUAUAAACAGAUAGAGAGGCAUAGAGAGAAAGAGACAAACUUGUUUCCACCGUCUUCACUGACACGGUUUCCGUACUGGAUGUGGCGGCCGGCGUAGAGACCGCGUUUGGCUCUGCCCAUGACGACUUUGGUAUCAGGAACACAAGCCUUGAGCUUCUCCUUGAGCUCCGGCGUGAUAUUCUCCGCUCCAACUUUCUUUACCAGCUUCUUCAUCAUCUCCUUCCCUCUAAACGCCAUUUUCGUUUCUCCUCAGAAAAUCACAGAUCGCAAAACCUACUCUUCCCCAAAUGCUUUUCUCUGUGCUUGGUAUGACCUGGAAAUGGAAACAAAUCGGUUUAGCUAACGAUUUUAAUUAAACCGGACAAAAUUAGCCAGUAAAAUCCGGUAUGGUAUUUCGCCUGCUUGCUGCGUCGCUCGUAUCAGACUCCGAUUGAAUAAGAAUAAAUGAAUCGUCGAAUCAAGAUAAACAGACGACAGGAUCGAGGAGAAGCUGACCUGAAGUGAACCAAACCACAUAAAUGGUCAAGCAACGAGAGAGAAGAAGCAGAAAUGAAACUGACGAUGGCACGAGUCGAGGUUUCGGCCGGCGAUGAGAACCGGCGUCGAUCUUAGCCAUAGGGUUCAAUUUCUGAGUUUUGAAGCGUUGGGCUUUUUUAAUUCGUUGGCUCUUAGGCCCAAAUUAAUUCUCUCAUUAAUUUACGGUUCGGUUUUAAUCGGUUCUAAUUUGUCAAUCCGGAUAAAAAGUCAAUAACAUCUAACAUAGACCAAACCAUUAUCCCAAAGAAAAAAAAAACAUAGACCAAACCAAGUCAACAUGAAUUGAAAUUUAAGAACCUCGGUCCUCCCAACUCAACCGAAACACAAUCAAACCGGCCAAACAUUGUUUUUUUUACGGCAACAAAGAUAUAUCAAAACACAAAUUGCAACACUAAAAAUCAUGUGUUUUAUUGGUGCCUUAUAUAACAAAUGAAACCUUACCCGAAAGGUUUAGCAUAUAUGACAUCCAGACAAGAGAAAACGUAAUUCAUCAUUUUCGUUAUCUAACAUACAAGAAUCAAAACAAGAUUUCACAUUAACAAAGAUAAAGUGUACAUAGUUGAGGAAAAUAAAGGUAAAGAUAAAGUGUAGACAAUAUUCAAAAGGGUGGUUGUCCAACAAUGUUACCAGGAGGAUCAUAGUUACAAAUAAUAAAUGUGUCACCGGUCUUGCAAAAACUGAUUGCACACCCAAUCCUCGAACUCUUCUUCCAUACAAGUUGCGUGUAAUGCAAACAAUCCCCAUUCGCCUUGCAGUGGGAAGUCCUCCGGUCAUAGUAUUUCAUCUCCGAGGCCCAUGCAGCCACCGCAUCCCGUGGAGUCCAACCUUUUCCGCUUCCCCAGAAGAGAUUCUCCCCGUAAGGUCCCCCGGAGUGGAUAAGUUUGCAAUCUCCACGGCGGGUUCUGGCCCACCGGCUCGCAUAGAGGGCGAGGCUAUUGCUCCAUUUGAGAGGAGGGAGACGAAGCUUGGCUCGUAAGAUGUUGUGUGGUCGGAGAAACUGCUGCUGAAUGGUGUUGCGGGCUAGAGCUUUGUCUUGAGAAAAAAUUAGUGUUGAUGUUGUCGGUGUUCUGUUUGAUGGGAUUUGAAAAGAGAGAGAAGGAAGUGGAGUGCUGAUAACUAUGAUAAUGAUGAUGAAUAUCAGAGUUUUUUGUUCCAUUGGGAUGCUAAGUUAGAUUUGUUUCUGAGCCUCUAGAUCUAGCUAGUACGAUCCUUACCAUAUAUAUAUACACACACACACAUAAUUGUUUAUGCUUUCAUAUUUGUACGUAUAUAUCAUCUAACGAAUCUAAACACAUGCUAUGUUAAUAAUGCGCAAUGACAAGUGCUAAUCAUUUCGGUGGAACAUUGAUUAUUUGUAGGGAAUGAUUUUAUUCAAACAAAGCAUACAUUAUUGAGCUAAUUAAUAGAUCAUUAUAUAUGAAGGAAGUUUUAAUAGGAUGUUUUCUUUUUUUCUUGUAAGAAGAGACUUUAUCAUAGCAACGAGAAUAUAUCCCAAGCAUAAAACAUUAUAUACAAACUCAUUCAAAUGAAAACCUAAGUUAGAUAUUUAAUUUGACCACUCUUAAAAUACUUGUUUAGUUAUAACAUGUUUACUAUGCAGAUUUAUGAGGCGUAUCAGAUGGUGUGCUAGAGAACGUGAUACAAAUUUGGAUGCCUUGUUUUCAAGAAAUCUUAUACAUUCCUUGGAGAUCAAUUUGUAUUGUGAGGCUUAUAGUCAUUGAGCUUACCGUUGAUUAACUAAAUUUAUAUUAUAUAGAACAUCAAAUAGACGAAAAAAAUCAAUUUAGUUGACCACCGUUUGUUAGCUAGGUUAUAAACUCUGACCCAAAGUGUCCUAUGCUUUCAGUAUUCAGUUUAUUUUAUAACGUGUGGGGUCGUUUUGGAAACAAUUAAAACAAUAGGGGCUAUAUUUUUCUCAAGUUCUGUUGGACUGGGCUUGUCGUUAAUCAAUAUUUGGGCUUUUGAGGUUGACUCGCUUUUUUCCGUUCUUCGUUUUCCAAAAUCAAACCCAAAAGGAUUUGGAGGAGUUAAUUCACCUGACGAAUCCACCACCAUAAUAUUAAGCACAUUUGAUCUCUCACUUCCUUGGUGCGAGUGUUUUGUUUUCCGAGAUCCAAAAUCUUCUCUUGGAUCCAAAGCUGUGUUACUGUGGAUCUCCUCCUCCUCUCUCCCUGGAUCUCGUACCUUUGAGGUUUGUCUCUCUGUGUUAAACUUGCGACUCAGAUUUCAUAGAGAUCGAUCCCACUUUUGCCUUUUCCUUUGUGAAAAUCUACAAUGUUCAAUUAUUCUCUGGCGCUCUUUGUUUGAUCUCGUUGAAUAUUGAUCUGAUUCCGGUAGGAAACCGAUUUUCAUGUUUGUGCAGCUGAGUGAGACUGCGAAUUAUGUAGAUUUCAUUGUUUGUUCAUCUAAUCUGGGGAGAUAGAUCGCAUUUUUUUUUUUUUUGAAUUUUGGUUGAUCCGAAGCUGUUUUAACUGAUUUUUCGUUUUUAUGUUAUUAUUUUGGUCGUAGUUGUAGUACAGUGAUGUGUAUUGCUGGAUCUGAGGAUUUAGAUUUGUCAAUGUUUUGCAUCUUUGGGUCUCUGAUUGGACAUUACCGAAUAUUCUUCUGAAAUUAUGAUGUUUUCUCAUAAACCACGGAUUCGAGAAUAGAGAUCAUGUAUUCAAUGUAUUGAAAUCCAAGCAGAGAGGUAUGGAUUAUCGCCGAUGAUACUGUUGAACUUCUUGUAUAGAACUUACUCUAGCACUGAUGAGGACACUAGUAAGGUGCUUAUAUUCAGUAAUUCGAACUUGAAAUCGCCAGAAAUAUUAAAAGUUUUGAUAUCUUGUUUUUACUUGUGAUCUAUACUUCAUUAUGUCUUUAAUCAAUUGUAACAAUUUUGCUCUAUUCAUCUUCUAUUUCUUAUAUUAACAAAGGAACACUUGUUCGUGAAUGGUUUUUCCUUUUCAUUUGAGCUCACAGAUUUUUUUCUCUUUCACUUUUUGUGCAGCACCGGAGAAGAUGGACAAAUCUAGUACCAUGCUUGUUCACUAUGACAAAGGGACUCCAGCAGUUGCUAAUGAGAUUAAAGAAGCUCUCGAAGGAAAUGAUGUUGAAGCUAAAGUUGAUGCCAUGAAGAAGGCAAUUAUGCUUUUGCUGAAUGGUGAAACCAUUCCUCAGCUUUUCAUAACCAUUAUAAGAUAUGUGCUACCUUCUGAGGACCACACAAUCCAAAAGCUUCUGUUGCUGUACCUGGAGCUGAUUGAAAAGACUGAUUCUAAGGGGAAGGUGUUACCUGAAAUGAUUUUGAUAUGCCAGAAUCUUCGUAAUAACCUUCAGCAUCCUAAUGAGUACAUCCGUGGAGUGACACUGAGGUUUCUCUGCCGGAUGAAGGAGACUGAAAUUGUGGAGCCUUUAACUCCAUCAGUGUUACAAAAUCUGGAGCAUCGCCAUCCAUUUGUUCGCAGGAAUGCCAUUCUGGCCAUCAUGUCGAUAUAUAAGCUUCCACAAGGCGACCAACUCUUUGUGGAUGCGCCUGAAAUGAUCGAGAAAGUUCUAUCAACCGAACAAGAUCCUUCUGCCAAGAGAAAUGCAUUUCUAAUGCUCUUUACCUGUGCUGAAGAACGUGCAGUGAAUUAUCUUCUGAGCAAUGUUGACAAGGUUUCAGACUGGAAUGAAUCACUUCAGAUGGUGGUGCUGGAGUUGAUUCGAAGUGUGUGUAAGACUAAACCAGCAGAGAAGGGGAAAUAUAUUAAGAUUAUUAUUUCUCUGUUAAGUGCUACUUCUUCUGCAGUUAUCUAUGAAUGUGCUGGGACACUUGUUUCUCUCUCAUCUGCCCCUACUGCGAUUCGGGCUGCUGCCAACACCUACUGCCAACUUCUUCUUUCUCAGAGUGACAACAAUGUGAAGCUUAUUUUACUCGAUCGGUUGUAUGAGCUUAAGACAUUGCACAGAGAUAUCAUGGUUGAGUUGAUAAUAGAUGUGCUCAGAGCACUCUCAAGCCCAAACCUUGAUAUCCGCAGGAAGACGCUUGACAUUUCCCUUGACUUGAUUACCCAUCAUAAUAUCAAUGAGGUCGUUCAAAUGUUGAAGAAAGAAGUUGUGAAGACACAGAGUGGAGAACUUGAGAAGAAUGGGGAGUACAGACAAAUGCUUAUUCAAGCCAUCCACGCUUGUGCAGUGAAGUUCCCCGAAGUUGCAAGCACAGUGGUCCACCUUCUGAUGGACUUCUUGGGAGAUAGCAAUGUGGCUUCAGCUCUUGACGUGGUUGUUUUUGUUAGAGAGAUAAUAGAAACAAAUCCCAAGUUAAGAGUUUCAAUCAUCACAAGGUUAUUGGACACGUUCUAUCAGAUCCGAGCAGGAAAGGUCUGCCCUUGUGCCCUUUGGAUAAUUGGGGAGUAUUGCCUAUCACUUUCGGAAGUUGAGAGUGGCAUUUCAACUAUCACGCAAUGCCUUGGCGAAUUACCAUUUUACUCUGUUUCUGAGGAGUCUGAGCCAACUGAGACAUCAAAGAAGAUUCAGCCUACCUCUUCUGCCAUGGUGUCCUCUAGAAAGCCAGUGAUUCUUGCUGAUGGAACUUAUGCUACCCAAAGCGCAGCCUCUGAAACCACAUUCUCCUCACCUACAGUUGUUCAAGGAUCACUGACUUCUGGAAAUUUGAGAGCACUGCUACUAACUGGUGAUUUUUUCCUCGGAGCAGUGGUUGCUUGCACGUUGACCAAACUUGUUCUUAGGUUAGAAGAGGUUCAGUCUUCUAAAACUGAAGUAAAUAAGACAGUCACACAGGCUUUGUUGAUCAUGGUUUCUAUGUUGCAACUUGGGCAAUCUCCUGUUUCUCCACACCCUAUUGAUAAUGAUUCGUAUGAGAGGAUUGUGUUGUGCAUAAAAUUGCUUUGCCAUAGGAAUGAUGAGAUGAAAAAGAUAUGGUUAGAAUCCUGCCGCCAGAGUUUUGUCAAGAUGAUUUCUGAAAAACAGCUUAGAGAGAUGGAGGAACUGAAGGCGAAGACCCAAACAACGCAUGCUCAACCUGAUGAUCUAAUUGACUUCUUCCAUCUAAAGAGUCGGAAGGUAUUAUUACUUCCUAAGCUUCCCUUUGCUUUAUUGGGUUUUUUUUUCCAUAUGAGUUUUCCUUUUCAAUCUGUUCAGUUCUGUUACGUUGGUGUCUACUUUUUCUUACAGUUCAUAUCCAAUUUUUUUUUUCGCAUUCUCAAAGAAAGUUCGAAAGUUGAUAGUGGCAUGUUAUGUUUAUUUAUUUCGGUCAGUAGUUGAAAUUACUGACGAUAAGUUUCUUUCAGGGAAUGAGUCAACUUGAGUUGGAAGACCAAGUACAAGAUGACCUAAAGCGUGCAACUGGAGAAUUCACCAAGGACGAGAACGAUGCUAACAAACUUAACCGCAUUCUUCAACUCACAGGAUUCAGUGACCCAGUCUAUGCUGAAGCAUAUGUGACGGUACACCAUUAUGAUAUUGCUCUUGAAGUUACAGUAAUCAACCGAACCAAGGAAACCCUUCAGAACUUGUGCUUGGAGUUAGCAACCAUGGGUGAUCUCAAACUUGUUGAGCGUCCUCAGAACUACAGUCUGGCACCUGAAAGAAGCAUGCAGAUUAAAGCAAACAUCAAGGUGUCGUCCACAGAGACGGGAGUCAUAUUCGGGAACAUCGUCUAUGAGACAUCAAAUGUAAUGGAGCGAAACGUCGUUGUUCUUAAUGACAUACACAUUGAUAUCAUGGACUAUAUCUCCCCUGCUGUGUGUUCAGAGGUUGCUUUCAGAACUAUGUGGGCAGAGUUCGAAUGGGAAAACAAGGUAAUUUAUUGAAACCUUUUAUAGUUGUACCUUCUUUUCGUAUGUUUGUUGGAGUUUGGUAUAACCAAUUCCUGUUGUAUUCUUUAUGUCAGGUUGCUGUGAACACCACAAUACAAAACGAAAGAGAAUUCCUCGACCACAUUAUCAAAUCUACAAACAUGAAAUGUCUCACUGCUCCGUAAGUGUAAAUUCUUCUUUCAUCCUGUAGAAACGAAAAACUCUUCUUACUAAUUAAUACUUCUUUACUUGCAGAUCCGCAAUAGAAGGCGAAUGUGGAUUCCUUGCAGCAAACUUAUACGCAAAAAGUGUAUUUGGUGAGGAUGCUCUUGUGAAUGUGAGUAUUGAGAAGCAAACGGAUGGAGCAUUGAGUGGUUACAUAAGGAUAAGGAGCAAGACGCAAGGGAUUGCCCUAAGUCUUGGGGACAAAAUCACCCUCAAACAAAAGGGUAGUAGCUGAGGUUAGCUAAUCUUUUCAAAACAUAUUCUAUUUCUCGAUUAAUACAUGUUUUAAUCCUUAAACCGCAAUUGGUCUAAAUUUCAGUACCAUACCGAUGAUUUCUCACAGUGGCGUGCAAAGGUAACAGGUUUAGACUACGUACGUUUCUCUUGAGCAAUUAUCGUUGGUUGAAUCUGCUUAUUAUAUGGAGGGAGGAGGCGUUCAAGGGUAUAUGUAAAAAGAGUAAUUGGCUAUCGUUCUUACUUAACCGGUAUAUUUUCUGGUAUGGUACCGAUGGAUUUCUUCAUCUCAUAUGGCAGUGUGUUUUUUACUGUACUAGACGAUUUUGUUUUAUUUGUAAUGCUUUUUCUUCUAUAAUGUCGUUUGUUGAGGACUUUAAACCGUGAACUUUAUGAUAUUGUAGAUUUCAAAGCUACAUUUGGUUUGCUCCAUUUUAGAACUCGUCAUUUCAGAUUUGAUCUCUAUUCUUUUCUUUCAUAUGCAUUUGAAGUGAACUAUUCAAUUGUCAAAGCUAGACUUUAAUUUGCUAGUAGCUAUAUAAUACGGGUUAUGUUAGCAAGUAAGUUGUAAUGAAACGCAUGUAUUAAUAUGGACCAUAUUCAAAAUCUACAAGCCAAAGAAACCAAUUGCUUCACAACCAAACCCAUAACAUUUGAUUCUUACAGCCUUUUCUAUUCUCAAGAAAACCAAGCAAUAAUUUUUAAGCAAAAUUUAAUAAUCUUAAAUCACUUGCCUCAAGGUACCAAGGGACGAUCACAUACACAUUCGCGUAACUAGAUAUCGCUAACAUCAUUAGACAAGAAAAUACUAGACGCGAGUAGAAGAGGAAAGAUCCAAAUACAUCAUCUUCUAUCAUAAAAUCAUCCAUCUCUAACCGAAAGUUGGAGCACGUUUCAAGGAAAAACUGACAUAAUUCCUAAUUACGCUCACUUUUAAAAGUUUGGGGUCGUUUUGGAAACAAUAAAAAAGUAGGGGCUAUGCUUUCUCAACUUCUAUUGGACUGGGCUUGUCAACAAUCAAUAUUUGGGCCUGCGAGGUUGACUCGCUUCUUUCCGUUCUUCGUUUUCCAAACAGAAGGAAAAAAAACUAAAAAACAAAAUCGGAUUUGGAGGAGUAAACACAAGGGAAGACGAAUCCACGAUAAUAUUAAGGACAUUUCAUAAUCUCUCACUUUGUGCGAGUGUUUUUUUUUCCGAGAUCCAAAAUCUUCUAACGGAUCCAAAGCUUUGUUACUCCGUGGAUCUCCUACCUUGAGGUUCGUCUCUAUCUGUUAAACUUGCGACUCAGAUUUCGUAGAGAUCGAUCCCACUUUUGCUUUUCCUUUGUGAAAAUCUACAAUGUUCAAUAUUCUCUGGCGUUCUUUGCUUGAUCUCGUUGAAUAUUGAUCCGAUCCCGGUAGGCAAACGAUUUUCAUGUUUGUGCAGCUGAGUGAGACUGCGAACUAUGUAGAUUCCAUUGUUUGUUCAUCAAAUCUGGGGAGAUAUAUUGCAUUUGUGAUAUGAACUUUGGUUGAUCCGAAGCUUUUUUAUUAUUCGAUUUUAUGUUAAUGUUUUGGUCGUAGUUGUAGUAAAAGUGAUGUGUAUUGCUGGAUCUGAGGAUUUGAAUUUGUCAAUGUCUUGCAUCUUUGGGUCGUUGAUUAGACAUUACCGAAUAUUCUUCAGCGAUUAUGAUGCUUUCUCAUAUACCGUGGAUUUGAGAACAUAGAUGCUUUCUUCAUUGUACUGAAAUAUAUGUAGAGAGGUGUAGAUUAUUAUUGCUGAGUAGUAUUAUGGGGAUACUCUGAAACUUCUUGUUUAGAACUUACUCGAGCAGUGAUGAAGAUACUAGUAAGGUGCUUAUACUAACUUAGUAAUUAAAAGAAAAUUCUUAAAAUUUUGGAUAUAUUGAUUGUUACCUGUGAUCUAUACUACUUCAUUUUAUCUUUAAAUCGAUUUUCAGUAUUUUAGGUUCCUAUUCUCUAUUCGCUUUGAAUUUCUUAUGUUAACAUAGGUACACUUGUUCUUGCAUGAUUUUUCCUUUUCAUAUGAGCUCACAAUUUUAUUUUAUUUUUCACUCUUUGUGCAGCACCUGAAAAGAUGGACAAAUCUAGUACCAUGCUUGUUCACUAUGACAAAGGGACUCCAGCAGUUGCUAAUGAGAUUAAAGAAGCUCUCGAAGGAAAUGAUGUUGAAGCUAAAGUUGAUGCCAUGAAGAAGGCAAUUAUGCUUUUGCUGAAUGGUGAAACCAUUCCUCAGCUUUUCAUUACCAUUAUAAGAUAUGUGCUGCCUUCUGAAGACCACACCAUCCAAAAGCUUCUGUUGCUGUACCUGGAGCUGAUUGAAAAGACAGAUUCGAAGGGGAAGGUGUUGCCUGAAAUGAUUUUGAUAUGCCAGAAUCUUCGUAAUAACCUUCAGCAUCCGAAUGAGUACAUCCGUGGAGUGACACUGAGGUUUCUCUGUCGGAUGAAGGAGACUGAAAUAGUGGAACCUUUGACUCCAUCAGUGUUACAAAAUCUGGAGCAUCGCCAUCCAUUUGUUCGCAGGAAUGCAAUUCUGGCAAUCAUGUCGAUAUAUAAACUUCCACAUGGCGACCAACUCUUCGUGGAUGCACCUGAAAUGAUCGAGAAAGUUCUAUCAACAGAACAAGAUCCUUCUGCCAAGAGAAAUGCAUUUCUAAUGCUCUUUACCUGUGCCGAAGAACGUGCAGUGAAUUAUCUUCUGAGCAAUGUUGACAAGGUUUCAGACUGGAAUGAAUCACUUCAGAUGGUGGUGCUGGAGCUGAUUCGAAGUGUGUGUAAGACUAAACCAGCGGAGAAGGGAAAAUAUAUUAAAAUUAUUAUUUCUCUGUUAAGUGCUACUUCUUCUGCAGUUAUCUAUGAAUGUGCUGGGACACUUGUUUCUCUCUCAUCUGCCCCUACUGCUAUUCGAGCUGCUGCCAACACCUACUGCCAACUUCUUCUUUCUCAGAGUGACAACAAUGUGAAGCUUAUCUUGCUCGAUCGGUUGUAUGAGCUUAAGACAUUGCACAGAGAUAUCAUGGUUGAGCUGAUAAUCGAUGUGCUCAGAGCACUCUCAAGCCCAAACCUUGAUAUCCGCAGGAAGACACUUGACAUUGCCCUUGACUUGAUUACCCAUCAUAAUAUUAAUGAAGUCGUUCAAAUGUUGAAGAAAGAAGUUGUGAAGACACAGAGUGGAGAACUUGAGAAGAAUGGAGAGUACAGGCAAAUGCUUAUUCAAGCCAUCCAUGCUUGUGCAGUUAAGUUCCCCGAAGUUGCAAGCACAGUGGUCCAUCUUCUGAUGGAUUUCCUGGGAGAUAGCAACGUGGCUUCAGCUCUUGACGUGGUUGUUUUCGUUAGAGAGAUAAUAGAAACAAAUCCCAAGUUGAGAGUUUCAAUCAUCACCAGGUUGUUGGACACGUUCUAUCAGAUCCGUGCAGGAAAGGUCUGCCCUUGUGCACUUUGGAUCAUUGGUGAGUAUUGCCUAUCACUUUCAGAAGUUGAGAGUGGCAUUUCAACUAUUACACAAUGCCUUGGCGAAUUACCAUUUUACUCUGUUUCUGAGGAGUCUGAGCCAACUGAGACAUCAAAGAAGAUUCAGCCUACCUCUUCUGCCAUGGUGUCCUCUAGAAAGCCAGUUAUUCUUGCUGAUGGAACUUAUGCUACACAAAGCGCAGCCUCUGAAACCACAUUCUCCUCGCCUACAGUUGUUCAAGGAUCACUGACUUCUGGAAAUUUGAGGGCACUCCUUCUAACUGGUGAUUUUUUCCUCGGAGCUGUGGUUGCUUGCACGUUGACCAAACUUGUUCUUAGGUUGGAAGAGGUUCAGUCUUCCAAAACUGAAGUAAACAAGACAGUAUCACAGGCUUUGCUAAUCAUGGUUUCUAUUUUGCAACUUGGGCAAUCUCCUGUUUCUCCACACCCUAUUGAUAAUGAUUCGUAUGAGCGGAUUAUGUUGUGCAUAAAAUUGCUUUGCCAUAGGAAUGUUGAGAUGAAAAAGAUAUGGUUGGAAUCCUGCCGCCAGAGUUUUGUCAAGAUGAUUUCUGAAAAACAGCUUAGAGAGAUGGAGGAACUGAAGGCAAAGACCCAAACAACUCAUGCUCAACCGGAUGAUCUAAUUGACUUCUUCCAUCUAAAGAGUCGGAAGGUAAUAUUAUUAUUUUCUAAGCUUUCCCUCGCUUUAUUGUGUGUUCUUUUCCUUAUGAUUUUCCUUCGCACUCUGUUUAGUUUUUAUCUGCUUUCUCUUACAGUUCAUAUCCGAUUUUUUCUCCAUUUUUAAAGAAAGAUGGCAAAAGUAUAUAAUGGCAUGUUAUGUUUAUUUCUUUUGGUCUGUAGAUGAGCUUACUGAUGAUAAAUUUCUUUCAGGGAAUGAGUCAACUUGAGUUGGAAGACCAGGUACAAGAUGACCUAAAGCGUGCAACUGGAGAAUUCACCAAGGACGAGAACGAUGCUAACAAACUUAACCGCAUUCUUCAACUCACAGGAUUCAGUGACCCAGUCUAUGCUGAAGCAUAUGUAACGGUACACCAUUAUGAUAUUGCUCUUGAAGUUACAGUAAUCAACCGAACCAAGGAAACCCUUCAGAACUUGUGCUUGGAGUUAGCAACCAUGGGUGAUCUCAAACUUGUUGAGCGUCCUCAGAACUAUAGUCUGGCACCUGAAAGAAGCAUGCAGAUUAAAGCAAACAUCAAGGUCUCGUCCACAGAGACAGGAGUCAUAUUCGGGAACAUCGUCUAUGAGACAUCAAAUGUAAUGGAGCGCAAUGUUGUGGUUCUUAACGACAUACACAUUGAUAUCAUGGACUAUAUCUCCCCUG
rnacentral:lncRNA from 1 species